rnacentral:lncRNA from 1 species
UCUUCACACUCUCCGCAUCUCUGAUCUAUCAACUCUGAAAUCUUUGGACGGAAAGGGUCUUGGACACCUCACUUCUCUUCAAAAGCUAGAAAUUGACAGCUGUCCAAGUCUGGAAUUACUGCCAGGAGAGGAACUUCAACACCUCACUUCUCUUCAAACUCUAAUUAUUAGUUCGUGUGGCAGUCUCCAAUGCCUGCCAGAAGAGGAUUUGCCGUCAUCUCUUUCUCAUCUGAGUAUCUGGCGGUGUCCUCCCCUGGAGAAAAGGUAUAAGAAUAAGACGGGACAAGAUUGGGCAAAGAUAUCUCACAUUCCUUGCAUCAAGAUAGGAUACGAACUGAUCAUAUAAUAUGAGCUAUUCCAUAUUUCAUGCUCAACCCUCAACUCUCAAAUCAAAGUCAGGUGAGGUGUGUGCCUUCUCUUACUUUAAAAAACUGCUUCUCUUCUUCUAAUUGAAUACAAAAACCAAAACACAUAUUCUCUUUCUCUUCCAAAAACCCAAAUACAUGUUGGACAUUGCCCAAAUUUGAUCUCCAAAUUCCUAAUUAUUUCACGCUUUUUGUUAUUUUAUGGUUGCUGGUCACAAAUUAUAUCCUACUUGGAGUAUCAAAUGCUGAAUAAUUAGCAGUCUUUUUGCAGGACGACAUACCUUCUCUUGGCCCUUGGGGAGCUUUUCAAAAUUUGCAAGGUUUCUUUAUGUGGCAUUUCCAGAGGAGGGUCACAGGGCGGAGAAACAGAAAAGGUUUACCUGGAAUAUCUCAUACAUUCCUGCAUGUAGGCAUCAAAUGUACACCAUUUUUAGGUACUUUUAUAUGAAAAAAAUUGUAUUUGAGUCUCAUUUGCACUAGUUUAAAUCAAAUUUAAUGCCUAUGGAUAGUCUAUUAAUAGGUUCAUGCCAUGAAUUAAUCUUUGGACUUUCCCAGGUACUGCAGGUUUGUUAUUAAUGUUGUGGCUAGGUUGUCUUACGUUGAGGAGAGAGAUCGAUCAGCAAUUACAAAAUUGUUAGCGAAUUUAGUUUGUUUAUCAUCUCUCUCCUUUUGUUUGUUAAGUUUUGUUGUUCUAGGUUAAACCCUUGUCCCCGCAUUUCACAGCAACUCUGUGUUAUUCCACUCUGUUUAGAUUUCAUUUAUGUUGUGAUUCGACUGCUGCUGUAUUUUAGAUUUCGUUCAUGUAAUGUUAGGAUGUUUAAUCUCUGAUCUGUGGUGGUAGUUGAGUAGUUGAGUAGUCUAGUUAAUCCAGUAGAUAACUUGUCCCCUGUUUUGUAUUGUUUUUAUUUCUCUGGUAAUGAAAGCACGUUUCUUAUAAAUAAAUAAAAAAUAUUUCAUUGAUAUUCAUUGCUUAUUUUGAACUGCAGAAGCCUACUUUUGUCAGAGUCAGUAGAUGCCAGAAUGAAGUCAUUGCCUAAACACAUUGGCACCCUCACAGCCUUCGACAUUUUGGGAUAUAUGAUCUUCAAAAUCUUGUGUCAUUUGCCUCCCAACCUGCAAUAUUUUCAUAUUUUAAAUUGUGACAGACUGAGCCCUUUGGUGGGAGAUUACUGGGGUUUGCAAGGACUUGGUGGCAAUAUCUUGUAGACGUUUCUCAAGGAACAGCUGCUCAAUGCCACUCUUCGCACUCUAUAUAUUAUGGCCUGUCAGUCUAAAAUUCCUGCCAGGAGAGGAACUUGAACGCCUCUCUUCACUGCAAAGGCUACAUAUUUGUGGGUGUGACAAUACCCAAUUCCUGCCAGAAGAGCGUUUGCUGCCAUCUCUUUCUUAUCUGUGCAUCGACCAUUGUUUUGCCAUGUAGAAAAGGUAUCUCACAUUCCUUGCGUCAAGAUAGGUGAAGAAGUGAUCAUAAGGUAUGAGCUCUCUCUCCCUCUCGCUCACAUACAAAGUACUUAAACACUCAAUCUGAUUUCUAUUAUUAUUUUGCUCAGUAAAUUUUGUUUAAAUUUGCUUUAUUUCUCAUUGCGCUUGUUCUGCUUAUCACAACUUAUAUCCUAUUUAAAUCUCAAAUGCUGAAUAAUUAGCAGGCUUUUCGCAGGACAACAUAUCUUCUCUUGGAGAGAUAUUCAUUUGCAAGGUUUCUUUAUGUGUCAUUUCCAGAGGAGGGUUUACUAUUUAAUAGAAAGGUUCACCUGGAAUAUCUCAACUGACACAUUCCCAAAUACAAGCAUUGAAUGCACAACAUUUUGAGGUACUAUUUUUGUAAUAAAAAUGUACUUGAGUCUCAUUUGAGCUAGUUUAAAUUGUAUUCAAUGUCUAUGGAUAACCUGUGAGCUUAAGUAGUAAGAUAAAACUCACAGUAUAUUAUUAGGGUUUAGGGUUCAACAGGUGAGCUUUAGUUGUACUUUCCUAGGUACUGCAUGUAUAUUAUCUUCGUAUCAACAGGUGGUCUUAUGUGGACGAGCGAGAACAUUGAGGAAUUACAAAAUCUUCUUAGCUUGUUUCAGCUCUGUUUGUCAUCCCUCACAUUUUCUUUGUUAAGCCUUGAUUUUUUAUUAGACAUAAGAAAAAAUGCUUUUAUAAGACAGGAGAUGAAUGCUUUUAUAUGUUGAUGUCAUAGUCAGUCUUCAACCACACUCUGUUUUUAGAAUUCAUUUAUGUUACAAGUGGAGUGCUGCUGUAUUUUAUAUUUCGUUCCUGUAAUGUUUGGAUGUUUAGCUUGAGUAGUCUAGCUUAUCCAGUAGAUAACUUGUCCCCUGUUUUGUAAUGUUUUUGUUUCCUCUAAUGAAAGCAGGUUUUACUUAUCUUGAAUUGCAGAAGCCUACUUUUUGACAUAGGUGGCAUGGCACAAACUCGCAUCCGCAUUUCCUUCCCCAUUGGCAUGCUGUCUCAUCUUUUCUAUUCUGUUACCAGCUUGAAGCUUGUGUAGACAUGUUAUGCUCUUGUAAUUCUGAUCACAAACAUCACUUGACAAAUGGAAAGUCACAAUCAGAUCUUUCAGGUGAUCUGGAGGUUUACUUUCUAACAUUUGUUUUCGUGGGGGGGGGGGGGGAGGACAACAAUACAGAAUUUAAAAUUUCUGAUAAUCAAUAGUAGUUUGCAUAUAUCAGCUGGGACCUGUAUGACUGUAUUAUGUAAUUAAUUAUUCUCUUAUUGUUUUGGUACUGUUAAAAGGAGUUAGCCACACAAAAUAAAAAAGGAGGCCUCUUAUUUCAUACUAAUCGUCUGGUCCAUCUGCUGCUUCACUCCCUAGUAGCUUCAUCUCCUGUCCUUUGCUUUAUUUCUGUUAUUUAUUUUGAUUUCAUGUCCAUUGCUUCAUUUCUGUUUGGAUUCUUAAUUAAAUCUGUCCUGGACUUGAACAAGGGUUAGGUUAGCUGUAUAAUUUGCGGUUUUAUAUACACAACUGUCUACAUUGAUUAAAACCAGCAUUAUUCUAAGGUUCAUUUAGAAUGUAUUAUCACCAAAAUUAUAAAGUAUACUUCUAUUACAAUUAAUUUGUUGAUUCUAAUUUGGACUUGUAGGAACAGACCAAACAUGUUCAUAUGUGGCAUUGCUCAAGUCAUCAUCAUUCGGGACAGAGAAUAAGCCUUCAAAUGUCUGCUGAGUCAAUGAACCUUUCUAGAUAUCUCAAGUGUAAUGGAAAUUGAUGAGUUACAAAGGAUUUGUAAACAUUUUCUACUGGAGGCUAGAAAUGCUUCAAAUAAAUGACUGUGUUGCAAUUAUUUUGUAGGAUCAAAGACUCUGCAAAGAGGUAAGAAAGUCAUCAUCAAAUAACUUUGCUCUUCAAACUUUUUAUUUUUAUUUUUAAAUAUCAGUAAUAACUGGGAAAGCUUGCAUCUCCUUAAAUUGCUCAUUCUUACAUCUUUUAUAGUUUGUUGAUCUUGGGCAAGUGGAGAGAGAGGCGUCAAGUGAUACACAACAACCAUUUUCUGUGAGCUGAUUUGAUAAAGAGAAAUGGUAUGCUUUCUUGUCUUAAGCGGUGUGUUCUGCAAUUAUUUGAAACAAAGGAUGCCGCACUUCAAGUUCGAGAAAAUCAGGUAUUUUAGUAUUUUAUUCUUGAGAAAUUUGAUUUAUGUAGAAACUUGAACAUGUAAAUGAGAGAAAUAUAUAUAUAUAUAUAUUAUAUAUUGUAUAUGCUGUUAAUGAGUUAAUAUGGUGCUUGCUCCUAGUUGGAAAUUUAUGUAGUCAUCUACCUAUGAUCAAAUAAAGAUGAAAAAUAAAAUAAAAUUGAGAGCAUCUUCCUCUCCCCUGCUUUGCUCAUCCCUUGUUCUUCCACUUCAGCCCCACUAUUACACCAUUUUUUCAGCCACAAUUAUAAUAGCUCCAUGAGCAUAUUAACAUCAGUGGCCACAGUUCCAUGAUUUGAGUGCACAGAAAGGUUUCAAAAAUUGUCCCAAAAGUACAGUCGUUCAAAGUGAAAGAGAGUUUUCAAAGCUUAAUUACAAGUUCAUGUUAUUUACAAUAGCAAAAAGCUUUCAUUCUUGCUUACAAACUUGUAUUUCCAAGUUCUGUAAACCUUGGAAUUUCACUUCAUCCAAAUCCCCUUCCAAAGCAGGAAAAAAUGGCAGCAGCUUUGAUUGGAGAGGCUCUCAUCUCUGCUUCUAUCGAGGUGUUGUGUGACAGAGUUACUUCAGCCGAGUUCAUAGACUUAUUUCAGCAGAAGAACUUGAUGAAACACUCCUCAUGAACCUGAAGACAACACUGUUGAUUUUGUUUGCGGUGCUCAAUGAUGCAGAGGAGAAGCAAAUUGUGAACCCUGCUGUGAGAGAGUGGCUUAACAGCUCAAGCAUGCUGUCUUUGAUGCAGAGGACUUAUUUGAUGAGAUUGACACUGAAGCUUUGCGAUGCAAGCUGGAAGGUGAGGAUCAAACCCACAAUAGUUAACCAACAAGGAUCUUUUUGAUUGUUUGAAAGAAGAGUCUUUGAUGAUUUGAAAGGAGAGGGUUGCUUUAUUUCUGUUGGAUGCGUAAUUAAAUCUUAUUUGGAGUUGAACAAGGAUUAGAUUAGCUGUAUAAUUAGUGGUAAACGCCUUUUUCUAAGGGUCAUUUAGACUCCUAUUACGAUUAAUUUGUUGUUUCUAAUUUGGACUUAUAGGAACAGACCAAAUAUGUUCACACGUGGCAUCGCUCAAGUCAUCAUCAUUUCAGACUGAAAAUCAGCCUUCAAGUGUCUGUUGAGCCAAUAAACCUUUCUAGAUAUAUCAAGUGCAAUGGAAAUUCAUGAGUUACAUAGAGAUUUGUAAACAUUUUGAAGAUUGCAACACCUGCAAGUGAGAUAGGCGGUGACGAAAUCAGAGCUGAUUUUGAAGCCUCUGAUGCCCCUGUUGUUGCAAGUUGCACCUGAGAACAUGUUUUUUUUUUCUUUGGGGUAAAAAAACUGGCAACAUGUUCGGAGCUGACAAUUCAAUCCCUGAUGAACUAGAGAAGCGAAGCUCCGGUAAGGAAUUGGUCAAGGUUGUGACAGGGAUGAUUGAUGGUGAAAUGGAUGCUAUUUCUUAUUGCAGCCUGUUCUCAAAGUUCUUGUUGGCAAAUGCAAGAGAUGGAGUAUUUUGAUUGGGAGGAGAUAUAAUGACAUGGCUUGACAAUUCUAGAACAGCCCAUCAUUAAUCCCAGAAAAAAUCCAGUUUCUGCUAAACAAUCACUUAUGGCAAGGCCAACUCUGUAAAUGGAAUUUGUGAUCCCUUGAAAUUGUACACAUUUUUUCUUUUUGAGGAAUUUAAUCAAACAGUAUUCUAAUGUAUUAUGAUAGCACUACACGCUUUUGUUGUAACAAAUUACAAGGAGGAAUUUGGAUUGAGUUUCUUGUAUAAGCACACCUUACACAAAUUUGGUAUAUUUUCUUCCAGCAAGUCUGUUUAUUAACCCCCUUAUCUGAAAUUAAUUGUUAAAAGUUUUGAUUCAUCUUUAAUCAGUGUCUAACCCUUGUUGAAUAACACUCCUCUUUCUAAUUUAUAUUUGAAGUUUGAGGUUUCAAUUUCAAUUGUGGGCUUUGAUUUUACAGAUUUUGUUUGUCAAUUUCAGUUUGGACAAAGCAUAUGCAAACAAAAUAAGCAUUUUAUGUUAUACUUUUGAAAUAGGUGUUGAUUUGAUUUAAUCAUAAGUUUUGCUGGUGCAUUUACUAGGCUAUCAUUCAAUACUUUUGAUCAUAGAACUUCUUUGGUCGAUAUUAUCUUUGUUAAGUUUAACCAUAAAUUUAGAGAGGGGACUUCAACAGAUUUAUAAUCUCAUCAUUAUAGUAUUAAAAAUUAGAGAUUAAGGCAUUGUCUAUUAUCUGAAUUCUGCUUACUUUUAGUUCAUAUGUUUACAUCUUAGCAUAUUCAUGCGAUUAGUGCGGCUCAUACCACAAAGGCAACUUUAGGCUCAUCAAGUGCUAAGCAAUGUCAAGCUUCCAAGUGACAAGUUCUCUACAUAGUUUGAGACCUACACUUACUAGAUAUUAGAUCAUUUCGAUCAUUUCCAUAUGUUUAUAUGUAAUUGACAUGUUAUAACAAUUUUUGUAGCGUUAUAUAAUUAUUUAGCAAUUUAAUUAUUUCUUUGCAUCAAGAAAUAGUUCUUAAGUUAUUAAAAAAAAAAAAAAAGAUUUAAAAAAAAAGAUUUGUUGAUGCUUAAAAAGCAUCAAGAACAGGUAGUUUCUUGACGGUUUAGUGACGUUUCAUAACUGUAGGAGGCUUUUUCUUCCGACAGCUGUAAAUGGGCUGGGUUGCCGUAAAGGGCAGACUGAUGAAAUUGUCCCCUUUUGUCUGAGCUAGAAAAUUAAGCCCCAAAAUACUUCGAAAGGGCAGCAGAGCCUUAGGAAGUAUUUUGGUUACCCUCACCAACUAAAACAACAACAACUUACAGGUAAUUUCUUAAUGCUUACAGAUGAACUCUUGAGCUUGGCAUGAGAGACAUGUGGCAUGGAAGCAAAAUCAACAUGAGUUUAGCACUGAGGGGAAAUUUAGGCUCUCUUGGGGGAAAAAGGGAAGUGUUAAGGUGAGAGAGGAGAAGUUUGUAGGAGAUUUAGCUAAGAAAGGAGAAAUAUAGAACAAUGCUCUUCUGGCAGCUUGACAGAUGCUCUGUCUGCCAGAAAAGGAAGAUGGAGAAGAAAUGUGAAUAGUGCACGAGUUUGCUAGAUUUUUGCAGGUAAGAGAGGAAGCUUGCUCUCUGGGUCUGAGUUGAGUUUUGUUAGGUGGAAGAGACCUCAUUUUAUAGCUCCUGGAAACCAUCACUUCCCAAGAAACCCUAAUGGCUUCUACCCAUUUUGGCCAAGCUUUUCCAUUCCUUUCUCAUUUCCUUCCUUGACUUUACCCCUCUUGAUGAAAUCCUCUCUACCUAUUUGCACCAGAUCAGAGUUUUUUGAAGCUUAAGGCCCCCUUUUCCCGCAGUUGUCUCAAUGGGAGACUUUCAUUCCUAGUCAUUUCCUUUAUUGCUUUCCUUUCUUUUUUUCAUGGCCAAGUCUGGUGGGGAAAGGAGUUGGGAUAAAUAUGCUAGUUUGAAGGGUGCUUCUCUUCUUGGCAUCUUACACACUAAUACCCCUUGGUUCCUUGAAUGUUUUGGCUUUGAAACUUGCUCCCCUCCAUGUAUUGGAACCUCCCAGCAGCCCUGGUCAAUGAAUCUUCAGACCUUCUCUUCGUGGCUUUUAUUUUUUUAUCAACUGGCUAGGGCUUUUGUGGCUCAUUGGGGCAAUUGUAUGGGCUAAGGUGGUUCAUUAAGUAAGUGGGCUAUUUUUAUUAAACAUUGAGCUUUUUGGUUGAGUCACUAGGCUAUUUUGAUUGGGCUAUUGGGCUAUUGUUUCCUCUCUUGUGCUCACCCACAUGUUUGGACCAAAGAAAUGAGCUUGAGUCCUGAGGCUCCCAAGCGACCCGAGACUUUCCAUUUAUCGGUCCAUCAAUGGGCCUCAUGUUGAUUUAUUACCAUCCAUACCACACCCCACUCAAGCAAGCCCCGGGCAUUUGAGUGGCUUGGGCCCACUUAGGCUUGUAGUGUGGUUGGGUGCAAAAUAACGAUUUCGUGCUUGGCAUGUUUUAAUUUUAUCAUCCAUGGGAAAGGCUGCGAUGUUUGAUUUCGGCAUGGGCUUGUAGAGCUGGUAUGCUUUAUUUCAACUCCUAGCAUGACGAAUUAUUUAUUUAGCAUGGCACGUGAAUUACAACUCGCAUGUGGUGGGUUUUUGUGUACUACACCUUACGCCUCUUCUUAAUAGAACAUCGUUUCUGAUAAUUUAUUUGGGCCCAACCGUGAAUUUUUUGGAUCUCAAUAAUAACCAUCAUGAAACAUUACAUUUUGACUGACAUCAAGAAAUGGGGUAUCCCUUUCUUGAUAGUGGCAUCCAUGAUGCCUUCCAAGCCGUCAAUUAAGGGCUAUCGCGAUGCAUUUUAGUUGUCAGCAAAAGGUGUUUUUCUUGUACUAUAUUCACUCAAAAUCGUGUUUCAUUUAAGAUUAGUAGUAUGGUUGAAUACCAUUUGUUUUGUUAAAGAAUAUUAUACAUUAGGGAUUUUUGUAGAAAUGUCAUUUGAACUUAUACCUUAGUUUCAAUUUGUCACCUUGAAGAAAAAUUUAAGAGAAAUAUCACCUUAAUUUUUUAAAAUCCAUGAUUUGUCAUAUGACUUUAAGAUCAUCCAAUUUUCCAUCCAUUUUAAGGGUAUUUUAGACUUUUCAUUUUCAAGGAAAAAAAAGAGAUGAAAAAAGAGACCUCUCUCUUACUUUGUCCCCCAACCCAACCCCACCCGCCCCCAAAAACACAUCACAUAGGAUUGCCUCCCCCUUCCCCACUUUUCUUUUUUCUUUUUGUCAUACUUUUCCACUGUGUUUAUGUUGAAGGAUCUAAAGUUUGCUUGGUCACCAUCUUUUACGUAGGCUUCCUAAUUGUUGGUUUGGGUGGGUUGUGGGAAUUUGUGUGUGGAGGGCAAGGCUCUAUCUGACAGGACCCACCUCGAAUUCCUCGAAACCCGAGACGAAUCUUGUAGAAUUUCCGACAUCACACCGAUGCCGGGUCCACUUCUGAACUAAAUCCUCUUUUCCAAAAUUAAGGAAAAAUAGUACGAGGCUUUCUGCCAAAAUUUCGGCAGUCUUCCCUAUAAAUUUAACGUUUCAGCUUUGGAGGCCGUUCUUUCAUUUCUGCUUUGGUGGCCGGAUGAGAGAACGGCCGGCUAAAACGUGGCCAGCUGGCACUGCCGUCACGAGAGAGAGAGAGAGAGAGAGAGAGAGAGAGAGAGAGAGAGAGAGAGAGAGAGAGAGAGAGAGAGAGAGAGAGAUGUUUAUCAAACCAUUUUUGCCAAAAUUACGAUUAUGCAACUGAGGGUAUUUUGAUCGUAUCUUUUUCGUUAUAACUCCGAUUCAAGCCCACUACAUAUCUACGGACUCAUCUCGCCGUGCUCUAUGCAAUUGUAUAGUUGAAAUUCCCAAAUUCCAUCCCAGUCAAAAAGUCAACUUUAAACCUUAUAAAAUAUUCUAAGGGCAAAAUGGUCUUUUAUCUAAUUAAAUUAAUAAUUGAAAAUUUAUUUAGGACCGGGUCGUUACACUGUCGUUGAUGGACUGUGCGAUGGCACUCACACAAAGUCCUUAAGAAUAAAACACACACACACCAUGAAGAGAGUAAAACAAAUGCACAAAGAUUUAUAAAGGUUUGGCCUCCUGCCUACAUCCUCUUGGUGAUCCACCCGAGAAAUUCACUUGUACGUAAGAACAACUUUGGUUACAACUAAACCCCCUUAGCUUUCAUAAGAACCCUAGAUCUCUUUUCUCCCACCCUUGCUCCAACCCUUUGAUGCCCUUGUAAACACUCAAGAAUUCAUCCUUGAAUUCUAUCAUGUGUUACAUCUUCUCUUCUCCCCUUUGCCAACCUAACCCUACAAGUUAUAUUUAAAAUUCAUUGGACUUUAAGUACAAGUUAACUAGGAAUAGGAAACAUAAAAGACCCCAAAAAUUGGAGAAAAUAUGUCUAGAUCUCAUUAGGAAAUUGCACAACACGUGCGAUCCUCUCGAGCGCCUGCAAAAUCAUCCCUUUGCCGCUCGAGCUGCCGAUAGCUCAUGGGAUGGGGGAAUUAGAAAUUUUUUUUUUUCAAUUUUAAUUGUUUAAAAGAUAUACAAUUUAUUAAUAAUAAUUUUUCCAUUUUUAAAAUACCCUUGAAAAUAGAAAGAUUAAAAUGCCCUUAAAAAUGGAUGGAAAAUUGGAUGGUGUUAAGGUCAGAUGACAAAUCAUGGAUUUUGAAAAAUUAAGGUAACGUUUCUCUUAAAUUUUUCUUUACAGUGACAAAUUGAAAUUGAGGUAUAAGUUCAAGUUACAUUUCUGCAAAAAUUCUUAUACAUUAUGAUAUUCUAACAAUAAUUGGCUAAAAUUGAUAUGUUCCCUCUUUUAUUUUCUUUUUCUCUUUUCCUUUUCAUUUUAUGAUCCAAUCCUUUUCAUAUAUUUUUGUUCAAGACUUUGUUUUAUAAUGCUCUAUUACUAAUUUGGUACAGGUCCCUAAAAUCUCGGAGCCGCCUUAGUACAUUCAUAACGUACAUGUUCAGAGUUCAAGAAUAAUGUAUAGAAUGUGAAAUUGACGAUGCCGGCCUUUAUGAGGCAACAUCUUUAUUUCUUUGGUUAUUCCAGUUUAGAAUAUUUGCACAAAUGAGAUGACUCCAAGCAUAAAGUCACAUUCGACCAAAAAGCAUAAAGUCACACACAAAAAGAACACGGACAAUUGCUAAGUUUAUCCUUGUACCCUUAUUUUAUUGAUCCGACCCAAUUGAAAAAUAAAAAAAGAUGAUAAAAAAUAUUGUUCACUGCUUUAAAAUCUAUGAGUAGAGUCCUCCAUUUGAAAUUUGGUCAUUAUACAAAAUUGGAAUGAAAAAAGAAAAUCCUAAAGCUAUAUUUGAUAUAUUUCAUUUUCAUUUUUUGCUGGGUGUUAGGGCUCGUCAAUGGGCCGGGCCUGGCUAGCCCGGCCCGAAUUUAAUGGGCUUGGGCCAGGCCGGCCCAGGCUUUAAAGAGGAGAGAGAAAAUAUCAGGUCGAGUUUUUUAAGAAAAUUCAAAGCCCAAGCCUGACCCAUGAGCCGGGCUUGAGAAAGCCCAUCGGGCCGGGCCGGGCCUAAACGGGCCCUACUUCAUUCAAAAAAAAUCAUUAACUUAAUCAUAAGGUCAUUUUAGUCCAAAUUUGAGAUUAAACUCACUUAAUUCUAAUAUUUUUACUUCAAACCAAAUUCAUAAAACACCCAAUAAAGUCACACAACUUGUAAGAUUUUCCACAAAAAUAAUAAAACCAAGUAUUAUUUUUGAGGUUAUUACAUAAUUAGAUCGUAAUACGUUUUAAAAAAUAAUUUUUAAAAAUAAUAUUAAUAAGUAUCAAAAAAAUAUUUUUUUAAAGGAUGGUAUGAAUAAAUAUGCAAAUAUUUGGUGAUGUGUUCAAGAAAAGGAUGAUUAUAUUUGGUGGUACGAUUAUGUUUCGUGAUACGAUUAUAUUUAGUGAUGUGAUAUGUUGUUCAUCUUAUAUAUAUAUAUAUAUAUAAUUGUUGAACUAAUAAUUGACACAAAUUAAUGUGUUAAUCAUCCAAUUAUAAACUAGGAGUGAAUAAAGAAAAGUAAAUGAAAUGAAACAAAUUAUAUGUGUGAUUUAAGUGAUAUAAUCCUAAACCUAAACUCUUAUUUAUACAUAAUUAUAUAUGUAUGCGGGCCUAACGGGCCGGACUUUUGUGGGCGUGUCGGGCCGGGCUUUCUUGGGCUUAAUCAGGCUGGACCUAUGGGUCAGGCCGGGCUUCAAACACCCCAACACGAGCCUAGCCUAGCCCGCCUUGGGCCGGGCCAUCUCAAAGCCCAUAACGAGCCGGAUCGGGCUUUUUUCGAUUGGCCGGGCGGGCCCCCUCGACCCAUGAGCCCGCGGGCCAAAUGAUGAGGCCUACUGGGUGUUCAAUUUUUCUUGUUUCUUGUUGAAAAGAAAAAUGAUAAUUAAUAAAAUCUGAUUUGGUGGUUGUGCUCGUCACAAAUCAAUGAAAUGACAGCAGUGAUUUUGCAAGACAGCAUACCUUCUCUUGGGGUGCUUUUCAUUUUGCAACAUUUCUUUACGUGUAAUUUCCAGAGGAGGGUUUAUCAUUGUAUAUAGCUCUUCGGGUGGUUUUUUCUGCAAAACAAAUGUCACAAGGAAGGAGGAGAAACGGAAAAGAUUUACUUGGAAUGUCUCAAGUCUCCUUUGAGAUAAAGGCAUCGAAUGCACAACAUUGUUUUUGUGCUAUUUCAUAAUUAAAGUGUGCUUCCCAAGUCUCCUUUGCGUUUUGUAACUUGUAAUGUUUGUUUUUUUGUUUCCCCUGUUUUGUCUUUUAUAAAAGAAAGAGGAAUGCUAGCAACCUUCUCUCUAAUCUUCUCUUUUGGACCUUCUCCCUUUUCUUUUUGACAAGUGUCAUUUUCCAUACACUUAAAACAAUGACAUUAAUGCAUCACACAAUUUAGUUUUUGUUUUCCAAGUUUACCAUUUUAAAAUGUAUUGGCUUUUAUAUUUCCUUCAAUUAUUCACAUUUUGUUAUAACUUGUUUAGCACAUUAUUUUUUUUAAUUUAAAAAAAGUCAUAUUUUUUAAAAAUAAAAAUAAAGUUUGUUUCAUGACAUUGUUAUCAUUUUUAUUUUGUUUUUAACAAAACACGCAUUCUCUUUGGAAAAAUUAAAAAUUAAAAAACAAUUCAGUUUUUAUUUUCUUAUUUAAUUUUUAACAAGCUAGUAAGAAAGUUAUAAAAAAAAAUUAGCUUGUUAUUAAAAAAAAAUUAAUACAUUUAAUAAGGGUAAAUUUGGAAAACAAAAACUAGUUUGUGUGAUGCAUUAAUGACAUUGUUUUUAGUUUAAGGAAAGUGACACUUGUCAUGAGAAGAAGGGAGAAGGUCCAAAAGAGAAGGUUAGAGAGAAGGUUGUUAGCACUCCCCAUAAAAGAAAUACAGGUCUGAACCACACGGAUCUACUUGCAUAAUAAUGGACCAAAUUUAUGAUUUUUAGAAAGAACCUUCUACUGGUGGAAUCUUGGGCUACUGUUGUGGCUCUCCUCUGUGUGCCUCCUUUUUAGAAUGGUAAAAUAUUCAAAAUACCAGAAAAUGUUCAUGAUUAAUGCAAAUAUUAAGAAUUGAAAUUAUUAAUUAAAUGAAGAUAAUAUGGUAAAUUCACACUUUUUCAUAUUAAAAAAAUUAAAAUUAAAAGAAAUAUCAGAUAAUUACUCUUAUUUUUAUGGAACACAGCUACCCAUUAUCUUUUUUAAUUAUAAAAUAAAUUUAAAUUAUAAAAAAAAAAUCCUCUCACAUGCACGGAAGCGCGUGCUCAGAGGCUAGUUAAAAAUAAUGAACUUUGCUUCUGAUGUCUAUACCAGACCCACUCAACCUGCUUUAUGAUUAUACAAAGAACAAACUCGUCCUUAGACUCAUUUGGUUAAACUUAGAAAAUAAUGAAACAAAAAUAUACACACCCACAAGUAACACAGCCAGGAUUGAAAACAACUGGACAAAGAAAGGCAUGUUAAAACAGAAUUUUCAACAACUCAUCACCAUUAGACAAGAAAAAGAAAAAUCAAUACAGAAACAGAAAGAACAGAGAAUAAAUGUGGUGGAAGAAAAACGUUGAAGCCAUUUGUGAAUCCAACAACACUACCACUCUGUUUCUCUCCUUUUGUUCAGGCGGAUCUGCAUAUAUCCUAAGGCGUAUUACGGAAACAACUUCUUGCCGUUAUACUUGAAUGUUGUGGAUGCUUCAACGUUGCCAUCUGGGUGGAGUGGAUUUGUCCAAUUCACCUUCACUAUGGUUAAUCAACUAGACAGACAUAAGUCAGAAACAAUAGGUAUAUAGGUCCAAAUUGUUGUUAUUUGAAAGGCUUCUAAAUUUUAACAUUUUGAUUUCUAAAUUUUGUUUUAAUAUUUCGGCCCACUUAGUUCUUCUCAAAAUAUGUCAUCAAUAUCGUUGAAAGGUUGAACUUAGUGAAUUAUUAUAGUGCAGUACGGUAAAAUAGGCACAUGAUAUAAUUUGUCCACAUGUUCUAAUAUAAGUGAAUAUUUAUUGAUAUUAUUUUCAAAAAUAAAAAAUAUCAACCAUUACAUCCUCCCAUAUUAUAAUACAUAUACAAAUUAUACCACAUUAUCAUACUCUAAUACCAUUUUAUAAUUUCUCGUACUUAGGAGGUAUAGAGCGAGUCAAUGACAUUACAUAAUAUAUAAUUGUUCAUAUAAUGGGGCAACUAACGUGAUCAACAAGUUGUGGUGAUUAAUUUAACAUAAUAAAAAACAUACCAUUUACUAUGUAACAAUUUGUUCUUUUAAAUUGGAUUGUCAUCACUUUAAUAUGUUAUGUUUCUUAUUCUAGUCUCCCAUGUUAAGUGCUUCAGCAUUGUUUGUGGUGUGUACACAAAUUUUCUUAUAAAAUGUUUUAAUGCUUCUCACAUGUAUAUCAGAUAUAGACAGUUGAUGUGACUUAGAAAUCAAAUUGUCAAUAAAGAAAAAAAAUAUAAUUGGUGAUCGAGGUCCAAUUUAAUAGAAAAUAGUCUUAAUUUGUAUAUUAAAGGUUUCAGAUUCGAAUCCUCACUGCAUUAUUGUUGUAUGCGUACACGAGAAAUUCUAUUUCCCAAUAAUUUAGAUUAUCACUUAUACUAAAAAAAAUAUAUAUAAUAAGUUUUACGAAUGCAAACAUAAAAUUACACCAAACAAUAAUGGAAUAGAAAGAUGGAAGUUUUUUUUUUUUCCUACAUCUAAAGUAUACUUUAUAUAUAUAUUUAUUAUGGGAGUUAUAACCGUUUAAUUUUCAGUUUUUAUUUUCUAUUUAUUGUGUUAAUUUUUAUGGUUUAAUAUGUAUGGAGAUUACAAGUAUUGGAUGUCUAUAAAGGGCCACUCCUCCUUCACAUCUGAAACAAACCACCAUCUCAUUUCUGUAUUUUCAUACUUUCAUAUAUUUUCUACUUUCCAGAUUAUUAUUUUUGGGCAACGGUUUUGUGACUUGGAGAUUUCUAUCCGAUUGUUAACAUGCUCAUAACGGACCUUGAGCUUGCGUAUUGGGGAUCGUAUCUUGGAGCCUUGUAGACCUUUAUUACGUGCAUGUAGGGAGGCUACAAAUGCUUUAGGUCAGCGUCUUUGACGUACUUUUGCUUUCUUUUUUUACUUAUUUCUUCGUUUCUUUAUUUUUACUUUACUUUUAAAUCUUUAUUUUAUGUAUUAUUUAUAUUUAAAAGUUUUGAAUAAGAGUUUUACAGAAAAGGAAAAACACAAUUUCAAAUAACACAAAUUUCUCGUUUUUUGUUCUUAAAAAAGAAGAAGCAUUGAUUGGGGAGUUAUGGUAAACUCAGUUUCAAUGGUUGCGAUGAGAGGCGGUGGCGGCGAGGAGAGGACGAAGGCUUUGCUGCCGACGGGGUGGUGUGGCUGGCUGCUUGGUCCUGGGUUCUCCUUUAAUUCUCUGUUUUCUUUUUUCAUUUUCUUUUUCUCUUAGAGUUAUUGAUGUUAAGUGAAUGGACAGAUGCCAAAAUAGGGACAGAAGAUGUGAACCCAAUUAUAUACAGCUGCUGCUAUAGCUGAUUACAUAAAGUAACAAAUUAAUUAAUGCUUGAGUGGAGGACAGGCUUGAGUGGAAGAAUUGAUUAAGGCUUGAGUGGAAGACAAACUUCAGUGGAGGAAAGUAUAGAUAAGGAAAGCAUGCCUCGUUUAACGGCUUUAUCUAAUAAAGAUUACUUGUUGGCACUUGGAGUUUCUUAGGAAUGCUGGUUUUGUUUCCUUGGUGGACUUGAAAGGUGGUGCCUUGGCUCGGACAUCUCCCAAGACAUACAACUGCUCAUUAGCUGAAUAUCUCGCUCUCUUUAAAGAGAUCGAAGCAAACACAAUUUGCAAUUUGUGUGAUUCAAGCAUGAAUAUCUGAUAUAGUAACUAUACCAUUUGUUGGUUUGAUAAGAAAAGUUUGGUUAGCGAGGAUGAAACCAUAAAGUUCCCAAAACACACAAAGAACACGGACAAUUGCUAAGUUUAUUCUUGAGUUCACACAUAUUUGCACAAAUGAGAUUAUUCCAAGCAUGAUUAUACCAUUUGUUGGUUUGAUGUGAAAAGUAUGGGCAACGAGGGGUAAAACCAUACAAACACACACGAAGAACGUGGACAAUACUAAAUUUAUCUUUACGUUAUUGAUCCGACCUAACUGUAAAAUAAAAAAGAUGAAAAUAUAUAAUGUUCAGUACUUAGAUCUAUGAGCACUUGCACAAAACAUCACUUUUGGUCUUUGGUAAAUUUUUAAAAUAAAUGAAUUUUUUACUUAUUUGUGAACUGAAAUGCCUCUAAAAAAAUAAUGAUAGUUCGAAGAAUUUGAUAGAAAUUAAAAAAUAUCCUCAAAUUACUUGGAAUUGAAGACCACAUAGGCAAAAACACGAAAUUGAAACCUCACUUUAAUGAUAAAAAUGGUAAACUACAAAGACAAAAAUGACGUCUUGCCUUAUAAAUAAUUGGAAUUUGCUGGUGAUAAUAGUCGAUAUCAUCUUUUGUCGGUCCGACCUAAAAAGAAGAAAAAGUUAAAAGCAUCUUGUACCAAUUUUUGCCAAUGUGGGCCCAAACAAUUUGAAGAAGUCCACCGGCAAUUUCUCAAAAGCUAUUGUGUGAGUGUGAAGCUAAACCAAUAUUAUUUUGCAUAUCCGACCCCACAUCCCCAUGUGAUGUGAGGCUACAGAGGUGUUUCCAAAACGAAAUAUGAUAUUUCAAAACGUAGCUAUGUAUAGAGUCAUUUGUAUUUGCUUUCACAAUAACAUUUGAUUUUAUAUUUAUACAUUCUGAUAUUUUAACAAAUAAAUUGACUAAAUUUGGCCAACAGGAUUUAGCCGAAUAGAAAAGUUCUUAUUUAUGGACUAGUAAUUUUAAAUUUAAAAUUUAGACUAUCGCAUGUAUUUAAAAAAAACUAAACAAUUGGCUUAAUUUGAUAUAUUUCCUUUUUUUCCUUUUUGCAUUUUAUGCUGGUUGCCGUUAUUAAGUUUUAUCCUUAUUUUUUGUUGAAAAGAAAAUUGAAAAAAAUAAUAAUAAUUCCUACAGCUAGCAACUUCUCCACCUACAAAAAAUAAUAUUUUUUGUUUUAUCCUCAUGUGAGGCUACAGAAAAUUUUUGAAAACGAAACUGGAUAUUUUAUCUCUAACGACAGCUUUCAUACUUCGUUUACCCUGUGUUUCCAAGUUGUGCUAGCUAUUUGCAAACCUUGGAAUAUUACUUCAUCCAAAUCCCUUGCAGAGAAAAGAAAGAUAUGGCUUUGAUCGGAGAGGCCCUCAUCUCUGCUACCAUCCAGACGUUGUGUGACAAAAUUGCUUCGCCUGAGUUCACCGACUUAUUUCGGCAGAAAAAGCUCGAUGAACAACUCCUCAACAAGCUGAAGACGACGCUGUUGACCUUGUCCGUAGUGCUUAAUGAUGCAGAGGAGAAGCAAAUUGAGGAACCUUUAGUGAGAGACUGGCUUGACAAUCUCAGACAUAAUGUCUUGGCUGCGGAGGACUUACUGGAUGAAAUCGACACUGAAGCUUUGCGAUGCAAACUGGAAGAAGGUGAAGGUCAAACCCACAAUUUAACCAAGAAGGUACGUGAUUUUUAUCAACGCAUGAAUGUUGAGAUGAAAGAUUUAUUAGAAAGAUUAGAACAAUUUGUACAAGAGAAAAGUGCUCUUGGUUUGAGAGAAGGUGCUGGGAGGAAGGUUUCACGAAGAACAACAACUUCCUUGGUUCAUGAACCUUGUGUCUAUGGUAGAGAUGAAGUCAAAGAAAAUCUGUUGCCAAUUUUGUUAUCUGAUGAUGCAAGUAAGGAUGAUGUGUCUGUCCUCACCAUUGUUGGAAUGGGUGGGAUUGGCAAGACAACCCUUGCCCGACUGCUUUAUAAUGACGAUGAGGUGAAAGAACAUUUUCCACUUCACGCUUGGGUUUGUGUUACGGAAGACUAUGAUUCUAAUAGGAUAACUAAAACUCUUCUAGAGUCAGUCACCUCAAAGUCUUCUAAUAUGACAGAUCUAAAUUUACUUCAAGUUGAACUAAAAGAACAACUCAAGGGAAAGAAAUUCUUAUUUGUUUUGGAUGACCUAUGGAAUGAGAAAUAUGGUGAUUGGAAACGCCUCCAAACUCCUUUUACUUCUGGGGCAAGGGGAAGUAAAGUCAUUGUAACAACACGGAGCCAACAUGUAGUAUCUGUCCUGCAAAGUGUUCAUGUUCAUCACUUGGAACCCUUGUCGCACGAAGAUUGCUGGUUCUUACUUGCAAAACAUGCAUUUGGAAAUGAAAAUUGCAGUGAUCCAAACUUGGAAGAAAUUGGCAAGAAAAUUGCACACAAGUUCAAUGGGUUGCCUUUAGCUGCAGAAACACUUGGGGGUUUGUUACGUUGCAAUAUAGAUUCAGAGGAAUGGAAUACAAUACUAAAUAGCAGUAUUUGGGAGCUACCCUAUGAUAAAUGUGACAUUCUUCCGGCUCUUGGGUUGAGUUACCAUUAUCUCUCCUCCCAGUUAAAACGAUGCUUUGUUUAUUGUUCAAUUUUUCCAAAGGAUUAUGAGUUUAAAAAGGAAGAUAUAGUUCAAUUUUGGAUGGCAGAAGGUUUAAUUCCAAAAGCUGAGAAUGGAAAGAGCAUAGAAGCGGUAGCUAGAAAAUACUUUGAUGAGCUGUUGGCACGAUCGCUAUUUCAAAAGUCAAGCAAAUCCGGUUUCACAAUGCAUGAUCUCAUUAAUGACUUGGCCAUGUUCAUGUGUAAGGCAUUUUGCCUUAGGUUGGAAGGGGGGGAAUCACAUGUCGUAGAAAAAGUUCGGCAUUUUUCAUAUGCUAUGGAAAGAUUUGAUGCAGCUCCAAAAUUUGAGCCAUUACAUAGGGCUAAGUUUAUGCGGACCUUUCUACCCAUAUCAUUAAAUUUUGUUUCCACUUCUUAUGUAACUAAAAAGGUUCUACAAGAUUUGUUGCCGUCACUAAGAUGUUUACGGGUGUUAUCAUUGUCACAUUAUCAAAAUGUUACUGUGUUACCUGAUUCUAUUGCAAACCUCAUUCACUUGCGCUACUUGGAUCUUUCCGGUACCGCAAUUGAAAGGUUACCUGGGGUACUUUGCAAUCUCUACAACUUGCAGACAUUACUAUUGUCAAAAUGUUUCUCACUCCUUGAAUUGCCUGCAGACAUUAGAAAAUUGACUAAUUUACAGAAAUUGACAUUGCUCGGUUGUAGUUCUCUUAAUAAAUUGCCUGCAGGCAUGAAGGAGUUGACUAAUUUGCAUCAUCUUGAUGUCAGUGGAACUAAAAUUGAAGAGAUGCCGGUGCAAAUGGGUAGAUUGAAAAGUUUGAGAACAUUGACUGCAUUUGUUGUGGGCAAAUCUACUGGGUUAGGCAUAAGAGAACUGAGGCAGUUCCCGCAACUUCGAGGAAAACUAUCAAUUUUGAAGCUACAAAAUGUAGUUGAUGCGAGGGAUGCACUGCACGCCAAUAUGAAGCACAAGAAAGAUCUCAAGGAGUUAAAGUUUUCAUGGGGUGCGGAGGAUGCUGAUGAUUCCCAAAAGGAGAAAGAUGUACUCGACAAGCUCCAGCCUUGCGUGAAUUUGGAGAAAUUAUCCAUCAAAUUCUAUGGUGGAACCAAUUUUCCGAAUUGGUUAGGAGACUCGUCUUUUUCUAACAUACAAGUCAUGCAUCUCAGUGACUGUAGUUAUUGUUGGUUGCUCCCACCAGUUGGACGGCUACCGGCACUCAAAGAGCUCUGUAUAAAAAGAAUGAAGUCUUUGAGGACGAUUGGCGUUGAAUUCUAUGGCAGAAAUGGAGCUUAUCUGACUCAGCCAUUUCGAUCUCUGGAGAAGCUAGAGUUUAGGGGGAUGCCGGAGUGGGAGGAAUGGGUACCAAGUGGAAGUGCAAGUGGAGGUGAAUAUGGUCCAGACUUUCCUCGUCUCCAAAAGCUGAUUCUAAACGAGUGUCCGAAGCUAAGAGGAAGUUUGCCUUGUGAGUUGCCUUGCUUGAAGAAGCUUACGGUGUAUGGGUGUAAGGUUUUACAUGAUGGAAGGACCGCUACCGCAACUACCAAUAGUGUUAACUAUAAAUCUCUGGAAGAAUUGGAUAUAAGUGGUGGAUGCCAAACUCUGUUAUCAUUAUUAGAGACAAAGCUCCUGUCCCGACUUCGGAUUCGAAAUGUUGUUGACAUACAGUGCUUGCCCAACUGCAAUCGUCUUCAACGUUUGACUCUUUGCCUAACGCUGUCAUCGUUUCCCAAAGAUGGCCUACCCACUACAUUGACAUCACUUUAUAUAAACAAUUGUAGGAAAUUAGAAUUCCUACCUCAUGAGAUGUUGGCCAAAUUAACAUCGCUUGACUAUUUGUGCGUACAAAAUAGCUGUGAUUCAAUGAGGUCCUUCCCGUUGGGCAUUUUUCCCAAAUUGACGACGCUUCAAAUUCGUGGUUGUGAGAAUCUGGAAUCUUUUUCCUUGAUUGAAGAAGAAGGAGCUGUUGACAAUCUCAGCCAUCUCAAUUCCUUGCGUGUCUAUAACUGUCCAAAAAUGGUGUGUUUUCACGAGGGAGAAUUGCCCACUCCCAACCUGAGUCACUUUGUAGUCAUUGGUUGCGAGAAUUUGAAGUCAUUGCCCGAACGCCUUCACACCCUCACUGCCCUUCGAUCUUUGAAUAUAUGGAAUCUUCCGAAUCUGGAGUCAUUUGCAGAAGAUGGGGGUUUGCCUCCCAACCUCCGAUCUUUUAUCAUUAGGAAUUGUAAGAGACUGAGGGCACUUGACUCAGUGGGUUUGCAAGCACUUGUCUACCUUCAGAUCGAUGGAAGUGACCAUGUCUUGGAGACGUUGCUGCUCCCUACCACUCUUCACACUCUCUGCAUCUCUGAUCUAUCAACUCUGAAAUCUUUGGACGGAAAGGGUCUUGGACACCUCACUUCUCUUCAAACUCUAAAAAUUUACAGCUGUCCAAGUCUUCAAUGCCUGCCAGAAGAGGGUUUGCCGCCAUCUCUUUCUCAUCUGAGUAUCCGCUGUUGUCCUACCCUGGAGGAAAGGUAUAAGAAUAAAACGGGACAAGAUUGGGCAAAGAUAUCUCACAUUCCUUGCAUCGAGAUAGGGGAAGAAGUGAUCAUAUAAUAUGAGCUAUUCCAUAUUUCACGCUCAACCCUCAACUCUCAAAUCAAAGUCAGGUGAGGUAUGUGCCUUCUCUUACUUUAAAAAACUGCUUCUCUUCUUCUAAUUGAAUACAAAAACCAAAACACAUAUUCUCUUUCUCUUCCAAAAACCCAAAUACAUGUUGGACAUUGCCCAAAUUUGUCUCCAAAUUCCUAGUUUAAAUCAAAUUUAAUGCCUAUGGAUAGUUUGUUAAUAGGUUCAUGCCAUGAAUUAAUCUUUGGACUUUCCCAGGUACUGCAGGUUUGUUAUUAAUGUUGUGGCCUGAUAUUCGUCGUAUCAAUACGUUGAGGAGAGAGAUCGAUCAGCAAUUACAAAAUUGUUAGUGAAUUUAGCUUGUUUAUCAUCUCUCUCCUUUUGUUUGUUAAGUUUUGUUGUUCUAGGUUAAACCCUUGUCCCCGCAUUUCACAGCAACUCUGUGUUUUUCCACUCUGUUUAGAUUUCACUAGCAGGAGAGCCCGCGCGAUGCUGCGGGUUUUGAAAUUGUGUAGACAAAAUUAGAUUGUUUAUAUAUACAAUGAGAUUUAAUUUAUAACAUUAUGUUUAACUACAGGAGUGUAAGUUGCAAAAAAGUAUAUAAUAACAUAUUUUACAGGCUACUUGUUAUGGUAAAAUACUAUACUUGUUUGUAUAUACAUUGAGAUGUUUAUAGUAGGAAGUAGGCAUCAAAAUAGCAAAAGUUGGAUAGUUUUGUACAGAAUGUUAUUUAAUUGGGCAAGCUUUGUUUUGCACUUGCUUCAUGAUUUUUCUUCUCUUUCAUGGAAGUCUUGAUCCUGUUAUAAAAAAAAGUGAGAAAAUAGUAAAUGUUAAUAUUGAUGAAUGGGGGAAAUUGAGUUAGGACAAUAAUCAUAAACAUUUAAUUAUGUAUAAACAGGAAUAAUAUAAUUUAUUGAUUUAAUAAGAAAGUUAUAAAUAGUUUUUCAAUCUAGGAAAUACAAAGUUACAAAAUUAAGAGAACUAAUGAGCAAGUUGUAGAUGGUUUUCUAAUUGAAGUAAUACAAAGUAAACAUAUUUUAAAUUUUGUGUUUGUCUAAAAGAAAAGUUGAAGAGAGGCAAAAUAAUUAUGGUUGAAUAUAUGGAGAAAAGGAUGUCAAUAUAAUGUUUAGGUUUUUAUGUAUUAGGAAUAUAUGACUUUUUUGCUGUUAUUUAGAGCAAAAAUUAUUUAAGGGCUUGACAUUUCUGUUAAAAAACGGGUAGAAUCUACCCUGAAAAAUGGACAUUUUGCCAAAAAAUUCACCUGUAAACUAAUUAGUACUGAAUACCGAUUGGCGAAGGCAAGACAAUCAUAGUUGUGGAGUACAUAGUUAGAAAGAUGAAUGUGCAAACGUACAUCUAACCCCAUGAUAUACAUCUAACCCCAUGUGAACAUGAUUUAUUCUACAACAAUGAUUAUCAAUUUUCUAAUUGCUCAUUUUCCUAACCCUAAUCAUCACAAACCCAAAAUUAACUCUAAAAAUUUCAAAUAAGCAUGGUUCUAAACCAAUUUCUAACUUACUUAGCGAAGUCUUUUCUAUAAAUGAUAGUUGUUGAAGAAAAAGGGAAACGAAAAUAAGCUUUUAGUGUAUAAGUACAUUGAAGCAAAACAUGAAGAGAAUCCAAUAUAUAACUUCAAUAUAUAACUUUAAUUUUCUAUAAGUGUUGAUCUAAAUUUACAUCCCUUACCACUCUUCAAUUUAAAAAUAGUUUUAGCUACAACAAACAACUUCAGAGAGAAGAUUUGGCCCUGUUUUAUAAGGCAAAACCUCUCUAACCACAUGACAUACAUCUAACUCCAUGUGAACGUGAUUUAUUCUACAACAAUGAUUAUCAAUUUCCUAAUUGCUCAUUUCCCUAACCCUAAUCAUCACAAACCCAAAAUUAAUUCUAAAAAUUUCAAAUAAGCAUGGUACUAAACCAAUUUCCAACUUACUUAGUGAAGUCUUUUAUAUAAAUGAUAGUUGUUAAGGAAAAACGGAAACAAAAAUAAGCUUUUAGUGUAUAUGCACAGCACAGAAAUUGCAUGUAGCUUUCCGAUUUUUAUCCCAACUUCGUUUCUGUGGAAUCACAAAACUACAUACGCACAGCACAGGGAAGGGAAAAAAAAAAAAAGGCACAUUUAAGAGACACCUAUCUUCUCAUUCUACAUCACAUCCUCUUUUCCUAGCUUUCCAACCUUGCAACCAAAGCAAACAUCUUUCCUGAUAAAGGGUAGGAAAGAAAGUGGUUGUGUGAAUUGGGAUGAGAGAGACAGAGACAGAGACAGAGACAGAGAGACAAAGAGAGAGAGAGAAAAGAGAAAUCAAAGUAUAUAUAUAAAUAGUAAGUAUAGUUUAUAUCAUGCAAAGUUUUGAUGGUUUCGUUCAAAAAAAAAACAGGGAAAAAGUUUUGAUGGGUAAUUCUAGUAAUAAUGUUCUUAUAAUUCUAUAUAUAUAUAGAUAUCAAACUGUACUACCAUAUUCUUCCUAUAUAUACACUUGGUCGUCAACUACCUCUCUCUCUCUCUCUCUCUCUCUCUCUCUCUCUCUCUCUCUCUCUCUCUCUCUGUGACCUGCAUUUAUACAGAACCAAUUAUUCCAUCUUCACUAUACAUUUUCCUCAUCUUCCCAUUCAUAUUUUAUGGCUCUCUUGUUCUUCCUCCUAAUUCUUUUGGUCCCUGCAAGCAAUACUAAUUGGCCACCAUCACCUGGCUACUGGCCAAGUUCUAAAUUCAGGUCUAUGAGCUUUUAUAAAGGAUUUAAAACUCUCUGGGGUCCUCAGCAUCAAAGCUUAGACCAACAUGCAUUAACAAUCUGGGUUUAAUGAGGCCAGAAAAUUUUAAGAACUUAUCUACCAAGCAUACCAAACUGACAAAGCAAACCAUAUCUGUAUUUUAUCAUCAAUUUCAUCAAUUUUAUCACCAACAACAGAUAAAAAAAGGGAAUUUUUUCAAAAAAAAAAAAAAGGAAAAAACAUAAAUAAAAAAAGGGGCACAUUUAAGAGAGACCUAUCUUCUCAUUCUACAUCACAUCCUCUUUUCAUUUUGAAGCGGUCAUGUGUUGUGAGUUUCUUGUUUUAUAAAUUUUCAAAACUGUUGUUUAGAACUGCAAAAUUCUUCAUCAUAUAUCUUGCCUUCUAAUAUACAUUCUGUAUCAGGAAACUGGAAUGAGGCUUGCUCUUUGAGGAAGAGAAAUAAAAGAAAAAGUUGUGGCAAAGGUUCACGGAUGUAGUUGGAUUGUAGUGGGACAGAGAACAAAUUUAUUUGUUGCAGGGGAAAAGUCUCAUCCAAAUGCUAUGAAAUCAUGGCAACUUUAAAGUAUUGGACAGCAAUAAUGAAAGAAGAGGGCUAUGUUGGUGACACAGAUUCUUGCUUGCAUGAAUAAGAGGGAGAAAAGCCCCUAUGGUAUUGACUGUUGCCGCCAAGUGCAUAUUGUUAUUACUAUGCGUACUACAUCCCAAGGCCUCUCUCAGCAGGAUUACAAAGUAAACCAGAAUUACUAUCCCAGCAGUAUUCUGCAACUUUGCUCUGCACUUCCUUAUGUAAUCUCUCUCUCUCUCUCUCUCUCUCUCUCUCUCUAUAAAUAUAUAUAUACACACACACACACACACACACAUAUAUCUAGGCAUGCAUAUUUAUGAGUUCCCCAUUGAGGAGGGAUUCCCUUUUGAGGAUUUUAUAAUUAGAAUUAGACUGCCUUCUUAACCAAUAGUUGGGUUUGUGUGGUAAGGUAUGCUGGGUUUGUUGAUGUGGAUAUUUAUGCCUGGAGGUGCUUUGUUUUACUACUUCGUUGAAGUAGAAACAGACACUGACAAAGAAGCCCUUCAUUCUUUGUCUCAAUAGUGAUUGGUUUCUUUGAUCCUAUUCAUCAUAUCUGGUGGUGAGGUUGCCUAAUCAGCCAAAUGUUGGGUUCAACUACCUCUCUCUCUCUCUCUCUCUCUCUCUCUCUCUCUGUCUCUCUCUCUCUUUCUCUCUCUCUCUGUGACCUGCAUUUAUACAGAGCCAAUUAUUCCAUCUUCACUUUACAUUUUCCUCAUCUUCCCAUUCAUAUUUUAUGGCUUUCUUGCUCUUCCUCCUAAUUCUUUUGGUCCCUGCAAGCAAUACUAAUUGGCCACCAUCACCUGGCUACUGGCCAAGUUCUAAAUUGGCCAGAAAAUUUUAAGAACUUAUCUACCAAGCAUACCAAACUGACAAAGCAAACCAUAUCUGUAUUUUAUCAUCAAUUUUAUCGCCAACAACAGAUAAAAAAAGGGAAUUUUUUCAAAAAAAAAAAAAAAAAAGGAAAAAACAUGUUUAGUCUUUGCUUUCCAAUGUUUUAUCCAAAAACCUGAAAAUCAAAGUAACUAAAUAAAUGAACCCAAUCAUUCCUAAUUUCUAUUUUGUCAAAACCUAAUUAAGCUUCACUUCUUUUUUGCUUGUAUUUUAUCAUCAAUUUCAUCUAUUUUAUCACCAAUAGCAGAUAAAAAAAGGAAAUUUUUUCAAUUAAAAAAAAAAAAAACAUACUCAGUCUUUGCUUUCCAAUGUUUUAUCUAAAAACCUAAAAUCAAAGGAAUCAAAUAAAUAGGGUUUAGGGCUCAAGAACCUGAAAUCAAAAGAACCAAAAAAAUGAACACAACUCUACAUAGCACGAAAAAUCUCCCAGCCAACAAUCAAAUUCAUGAAAUAAAUACCAAAAGAUCUGUUAAAAAAUUGAUGAGAUGCAUACCUGAAAACAAAGGAUGCAACAAAGAUGGAAGCCUGAGUCGAAGCAAGAACGAUGGAAGCCUGAGUCGAAGCAAGAAAGAUGGAAGCCUGAGUCGAAGGUUGUAGAAAAGACGAAAUCUCCCGAUCCCAAAUCUGUGACACGAAGACUGAAAGCACGGCUGGAUUUGCAGCUCACCUCCCAAACAAAAAUCGACGGCCUUCAACGCAUCUCCAGCAACGAACACAACUCUUCCAUGGCUGCCCCCCAACCAGCUGGUUGGAAACGAACGGGAGAAAAUGGUUUCUCUCAGCGGACGAAACCAUCUCAACGAAGGGGGAGGGGCAAAAACGGGAACAAAAGAAACUGUUUAGUCAAGGGCAGUUUCGUCAUUUAACUGUGCUGCAGGAAAAAAAACGAAAACAGCAGAAAAAUGAGGGGCAUUUCCGUCAUUACACUGUGCUUAGCUACAGUGUUUAGUUGCAUUGGGUUUUAGUAUAUAUAUAAUUUAUGUUGUGAUUCGACUGCUGCUGUAUUUUAGAUUUAUAGGAACAGACCAAACAUGUUGAUUCUAUCACCAAAAUUAUAAAGUAUACUUCCAUUACAAUUAAUUUGUUGAUUCUAAUUUGGACUUGUAGGAACAGACCAAACAUGUUCAUACGUGGCAUUGCUCAAGUCAUCAUCAUUCGGGACAGAGAAUAAGCCUUCAAAUGUCUGCUGAGUCAAUGAACCUUUCUAGAUAUCUCAAGUGUAAUGGAAAUUGAUGAGUUACAAAGGAUUUGUAAACAUUUUCUACUGGAGGCUAGAAAUGCUUCAAAUAAAUGACUCUGUUGCAAUUAUUUUGUAGGAUCAAAGACUCUGCAAAGAGGUAAGAAAGUCAUCAUCAAGUAACUUCGCUCUUCAUACUUUUUAUUAGGGGUGGGCAUUGGAACCGCAAAACCGCAAAACCGAACCAACCCAAUCCGAAAAAAACCGAAAAAAACCGUGUUGACCGAAAAAGUCAAAAACCGAGACAAAUCCAAACCGAACCGGUUCAGACCGGUUCCGGUUCCGAUUUUCCACCUUAAGGAACCGGUCCAAUCCGAACCGGUCCAAUAUAAUUAAUUUUUAUAUUAUAUUUAUAUUUAUAUUUAAAAUAUCAAAUUUUGUAGGCCCAAACCCAACUAUUUCAUUAUACCAACAAAAAGCCCAAAUCUCCCAAGUCCAUUGCCCAAGUCCAACAAGCCAUAUUUUAAUAUCCUAAUCACAUCAAAUCUCACUUCACUCUCUCUCUCUGACGCACUCUCUCUUUUCCUCUCAGAUUUUUUUUACUCUCUUUUUCUUUCUUUCUUCUCUCUUCCGCCUCUUUUCCUCUAGGUUCUUUAACUUCUUUUUACUUCUUUCUUUCUUCACUCUUCUGCCUCUUUUCCUCAGUUUUUUCUUCUUCUUUCUCUCUUAUUCUUUCUCCUCUCAAUUCGUCUCCAUUUUUUUUCCCUCUCUUUCUCUGAUUUUCUGUUACUCUGAUUUUUUUCUUCUUGGUUUUAUGUUUCUCUCUCUCCCUCUAUAUCUCUUUCUUUGCAACUCUGUUUUUCAAUUUCUCCUUUUUUUUCUCUCUUCAUUUUUUGUUUCUCUGUACAUAUAUGUGUUCAUCUUGUAGAUCUGGGUGAAAUUCUUGUAGAUCUAGGUGAAGUUCUUGGAGAUCUGCGUUAAGUUCUUGUAGAUCUAGGUAAAGAGCCAAUUCAAAGCAGGUCAGCGUCUCUUAUCUCCCCAAUCCCUUGUGAAGAUAUGUAUUUUUUUUGUUGUCAACAAUCCAUUUUGGUGUUUUUAUAUGGUAUUGAUAUUUUCUAUGAUUUUGGGCUGAUUUGAGGUCUGAUUCUUUUUUUUUCUUUCAAUUUUUUCCUGUUGUGUUUUGAUAGACAUGUUCUCUAUUCCUGAUAUCAUUCCUCAGUGGCAAAAUCUUUGAGCGUUGUUGUAAAUUUUAGACGGGAAAGAAGCUCAUUCAUAAUUCAAAAAAAGAAAAUAAAGUUACAACAACUGACAAUUUGUUGCUCUUUGAAAUAGGUACUGAAGUAGCAUGGAUAAAAAGAAAGACUGAAGAUGUUGCAGAAGAUUGAAUAUGUUCUAUUUCUGUAAUUUGUUUGUAAUUAAAUUUGUUUAUUUUGUUUUGUUUUUAGGUUGUAAGUUUUAUUUUAAUGUUUGAUAUUUGUUGUUUUGUCAAAAAAUUGUAUUAAUGCUUGAUGGAUUCAUUCAAUUUGCAGUGCGUGGAUGUGAAUUGGGCCAAUCGGUAAUAAUUAGGCCCAAAAGGUUUUAAAUAUCAAUUGGGCUGAAACUUACAAAAAAAUUUAAGAACAAAAAAAAAAUCAAUUAAGCUGUGUGUCGGCCCAAACCGUAAAAACCGGAACCGAACCGGAUUCAAAUGGGUUCGGGUUGGUCCGGUUUUCUCAAGCAUUUUAGUAAAAAUCCGAACCGGACCGGACCGGUGAACAGUACCGGUUCCGGUUUUAAAUUGAUGCAAAAACCGGUCCAAACCGGACCGUGCCCACCCCUAUUUUUUAUUUUUAUUUUUAAAUAUCAGUAAUAACUGGGAAAGCUUGCAUCUCCUUAAAUUGCUCAUUCUUACAUCUUUUAUAGUUUGUUGAUCUUGGGCAAGUGGAGAGAGAGGCGUCAAGUGAUACGCAACAACCAUUUUCUGUGAGCUGAUUUGAUAAAGAGAAAUGGUAUGCUUUCUUGUCUUAAGCGGUGUGUUCUGCAAUUAUUUGAAACAAAGGAUGCCGCACUUCAAGUUCGAGAAAAUCAGGUAUUUUAGUAUUUUAUUCUUGAGAAAUUUGAUUUAUGUAGAAACUUGAACAUGUAAAUGAGAGAAAAAAAAAUAAAUAUAUAUAUAUAUUAUAUAUUGUAUAUGCUGUUAAUGAGUUAAUAUGGUGCUUGCUCCUAGUUGGAAAUUUAUGUAGUCAUCUACCUAUGAUCAAAUAAAGAUGAAAAAUAAAAUAAAAUUGAGAGCAUCUUCCUCUCCCCUGCUUUGCUCAUCCCUUGUUCUUCCACUUCAGCCCCACUAUUACACCAUUUUUUUCAGCCACAAUUAUAAUAGCUCCAUGAGCAUUAAGUCCCUUUCAAAUUCUGCUGACAUUCAAAAUUGGAAUCUGCUGGUGAUAUAUGAUAGCGUUAACAUAUUGUACCAUUUUGGCCAGUGUACGCAAUAUUAUUGCAUCCAACUUUGCAUAUUAACAUCAGUGGCCACAGUUACACGAUUUGAGUGCACAGAAAGGUUUCAAAAGUUGUCCCACAGAGAACAGUCGUUCAAAGUGAGAGAGUUUUGAAAGCUUAAUUACAAGUUCAUGUUGUUUACAACCUCAAAAAGCUUUCAUACUUGCUUACAAACCUGUAUUUCCAAGUUCUGCAAACCUUGGAAUAUCACUUCAUCCAAAUCCCCUUCCAAAGCAGGAAAAAAUGGCAGCAGCUUUGAUUGGAGAGGCUCUCAUCUCUGCUUCUAUCGAGGUGUUGUGUGACAGAGUUACUUCAGCCGAGUUCAUAGACUUAUUUCAGCAGAAGAAACUUGAUGAAACACUCCUCAUGAACCUGAAGACGACACUGUUGAUUUUGUUUGCGGCGCUCAAUGAUGCAGAGGAGAAGCAAAUUGUGAACCCUGCUGUGAUAGAGUGGCUUAACAGCUCAAGCAUGCUGUCUUUGAUGCAGAGGACUUACUUGAUGAGAUUGACACUGAAGCUUUGCGAUGCAAGCUGGAAGGUGAGGAUCAAACCCACAAUAAUUAACCAACAAGGAUCUUUUUGAUUGUUUGAAAGGAGGGUCUUUGAUGAUUUGAAAGGAGAGGGUUGCUUCAUUUCUGUUGGAUGCUUAAUUAAAUCUUAUCUGGACUUGAACAAGGAUUAGGUUAGCUGUAUAAUUCGUGGUAAACACCUUUUUCUAAGGUUCAUUUAGACUCCUAUUACGAUUAAUUUGUUGUUUCUAAUUUGGACUUGUAGGAACAGACCAAAUAUGUUCACACGUGGCAUCGUUCAAGUCAUCAUCAUUUCAGACAAAAUCAGCCUUCAAGUGUCUGCUGACUCAAUGAACCUUUCUAGAUAUAUCAAGUGCAAUGGAAAUUCAAGAGUUACAUAGAGAUUUGUAAACAUUUUGAAGAUUGCAACACCUGCAAGUGAGAUAGGUGGUGACGAAAUCAGAGCUGAUCUUGAAGCCUCUGAUGCCCCUGUCGUUGCAAGUUGCACCUGAGAACAUGGUUUUUUUUUGGGUAAAAAACCAGCAACAUGUUCGGGGCUGGCAAUUCAAUCCCUGAUGAACUUGAGAAGCAAAGCUCCAGUAAGGAAAUUGGUCGAGGUCACGACAGGGAUAAUUGAUGGUGAAAUGGAUGCUAUUUCUUAUUGCAGCCUGUUCUCAAAGUUCUUGUUGGCAAAAGCAAGAGAUGGAGUAUUUUGAUUGGGAGGAGAGAUAAUGACAUGUGUUGACAAUUCUAGAACAGCCCAUCUGAGUUCUUUUGUCAGGCUGCAUCAUUUAAUCCCAGCAAAAAUCCAGUUUUUGCUAAACAAUCAAAUUGUACACAUUUUUUCUUUUCGAGGAAUUUAACAUUACACAUUUUUUCAUUUUUUCAUCAAACAGUUUUCUAAUGCAUUUGUUGUCCCAAGUUACAAUGAGGAAUUUGGAUUGAGUUUCUUGUGUUAAUAACAUUAUACUUUCAUGGAAUGGUUUAUCUUCUUUUUCUGGACAAAAAUAUUUAGAUUAAUUUCUUGGAAUAAUUUUUUAAUAAUUUUUUAAUUGCAGUAGCGAAAAAAGGAAAAUUGUAUUUUUCAAAACCAAUCUUAAGUCCAGUUUCCUCUUCUUGGUCGUCACACUUGGAAAUUGCUAACCAUAUAUAACUUGGGGUAACAAUCUUAGUCCGAAUGUGUACGAUCUUAGUCCGAUCAAUGGCUACGCGUAUUGGCUCGGCCUUGGGGUCUACCAUUCCAGUGUACAAGCUUCCUGGGUCUUGGGGCAAUUCCUUCAAAUUGUACACAUGUUUUCUUUGAGAAGCAAGGCUCUAGUAAGGAAAUUGGUUAUGUAACAAAUUUUGGUCCCUUUGGAUGGAAUGAUUUACAAUGAGGAAUUUUAUUAUUAUUAUUUUGUUUUUGUUGUUAGUGUAAUGAAAAUGAUCUAGGUUCAUACACUGGGUAUAGCUCUAAUUUGGCCAAUUUCAUUAUUUUAGUUUCUUCAUAUUUUCAAUUAUUAUAAUUUGGUGCGUUGUUUUUUAAAAACAUUCAUGAGAAUCUCCAUUUUUUAGGUGUUUAAGUUAUUCAUCCACAACGGUUUUAUAAUACCGUCAUCUUUUCAAACACAACGAUGAUUUUUUAAUCUAUCGUCGUUGUUUUCUGAUCGUCUUUUUCACUUUUUGUAGUAGUGUCAAUAAGUAAGAUGAAAUAAUACAUUCACAAUCUGUUUAAAUUUUAAAUUAAAAAAAACACAAGAAAAUUUUAAAUAAGUAAGUAAUUUUAAAUAUAUAUUUCCAUUGUUUUGGUUUUCUUUUCAUAUUAGUUUUCUACUAGCUGCUAAUUUCAUUUAAAUUGUUUUUCUUACUUCAUUUAACUUUUAAGCAUGCAGAUGCAAUCAUGACUUCUUCUUUUUUUCAAUAGACUGAUUCUCUUCCCACAUAUAUAAUGCUCUCUAAGUAUUCGUAAUAUGAGUAGGAAUUUAUUUUCAUUUCACAAGAAUUGUCCAUCAAAUUCUGAUAGGUUUGUCGAUAGCACAAGCAUGCACAUAUAGACACUACAAGAACUUUGUUUCUUCAUUUUGUUUCCUAAAGAUUUGUUGGCUUCGUGCAGAUGAAUAACAAGUCUCUCUGUCCUCUAUUUCUUCUUUUUCUUUUUUAACAAUUCAUAUUCUACUUUCUGUUUUCACCCAGUAAAAAUUGAUUUUAGACAUGGGCUUCUAAAUUAUGUGCGGAUAAUGGUUGCAUUUAUAGAAUAUCCAUGGGCUUCUAGUCACCGUGGUUGUUGAUUCAGCAUGUCAUAUUACUCUUGGACUAGCUGUUGACACUACUACAUUUUACACUUUGCGCGACGAAGAACAAAACGUCGCGCAAAGUCGCAUUUAGUCGCCCCAAUUUCAGCGCGACAAAAACGUCGUCGCGCAUAUUCCGUCGCGCGAAGAUCGUGAAGAAAGCCUUUGCACGACGAGGUACAACCCUUCGUCGCGCAAAAGUGUGCGACGGGUAAACCAUCGUUGCACCAACGGUGUGGAGACGAAACAACCCUUCGUCGCAAAAAUAUUUGCGCGACGAUAAAUUAUGCGGCGCACGUAUAUUUGCGAGACGACGGGAAUUGCGCGACAAAACAUUAUUCGUCGCGCAAAAUAUGUAUGGGAGACGUAUAUGUUCGUCGCAGAACAAUUCGCGCGAUGAGAAAGUUUUCGUCGCACAUAUAAUUGCGCGACGAAAAAUUAUGUCGUCGGCCAAAUAUUUUGCGCGACGAAACAUUUCGUCGCGCAAAACGUGUUAUGUGUUCGUCGCGCAUGAAUUAAAAGUGAUAAAAAAAUAUUUGAUUUUUUUUUGUUACAUGUUGGUUUGCGCGACGAAAGAUUUUCCGUCGCGCAAAAAUAAUAUUACAAUUUUUUUUUUAUUUAUAUUUUUUAUUUGAUAUAAAAUUGGUUUCUUUUUAUUGAUUAAACAAUGAAAUUGCAAUAAAAAUAAAUUAGAAUAAAAUUUUGUUAUAAAAUAAAAUAAAAUAAAUGUAUUACAAAUAAAAUAAAUACACUAAUCAAAUAAUGAAUCAAAAUCAACCGAGUCGUCGCCAGUAUGCGGCUCGGAGGGCGGGGCGUUCACCGGGGCAGUGGUCUGGUGGGGAUGCCCGGGAUGGACGGGCUCAGAGGUCGGCGCAUCAAAAUGCGGGACUGGAAUGCCGGACUGUGCGAGGGACUGCAGAAUGACCGACAUCUGGCUCUGAAGAGUGGCCACCUGUGCUGUCAAAGCAGUGACCUGACUGUUUGACUGCGCCGAUGAACGAGGUCGAGGUUCCCUCCGCCGGGCAUUCCCCAUCCCUCGACAAUAUGUCCCCGGCCUCCUCCCGAGAGUCUGAUCCAACGUCUCCGUCAAUAUCUGAAAUCCAGCAUCCUGUGGAGGAGCCACAGACUCGAUCGGAGUCUCGGGAGGAAGCUGGGAGGCGGACUCCUGAAGAACAAGCUGGCUCCUCUCCACCAUCGUCGUCUGUUGAACAUAACAUAAAAUAUAAAUUAAAACAUGCAUAUAAAUUGAAUGCGUAACAUAAGAAUUAAAAUUAAAUAAUACUUACAUGAAGGGACUCGGCCAACUCAUUCCCGGGUCGAACAUAAACGUCACCAAAGACGUCGAUCUCUGGGAACUUGGACCCCUCCUAAAUUGAACAAGAGAAGAAAAAUAUUAGUAUGAAAAAAAUAAAUUAAUAAAAAUGACAUUAAAAAUGAAAUAAAAAUUUUGUGAUUAUUACCCGACGCCGUGCAUCCAUCCUAUAAGAAAAGGGUCUGGAGCCGGAAUGGUGGAGAAGGGUCUUCUUCUUCCUAUUACCCUUAUUCACUUGGGCUUUAUUCUGUUAUACAAAAAAUGAAACGUAUUAGUUAAAAUAUAAAAAAUUAAAUAAUAAUGAAAUAAAAAAAUAAAAUAAACAUUAAUAAGUAAUAAGUAAUAAUUAAACAAAUAUAAUUAAAAAAAUACCGCAAAUUCGGGCGCUUGAAAAUGAGCGCAGAGCCACUCCCAACUAUCCUCCCGCCCCUCAAGCUCCUUCGGGCAACCCUCCUGAAGAGCGACUUGCGGAUCAUCAUAGGCCUGAAAAUGGUGGUGCAAGUCGCUCUUCCACUGCUUGUACCUCUCAGCGAAGAGUCGGUUGACGUACGUCAACGACUCUUCGUCGAGAUCCUCCAAGUUAUAGUUCGUCUGCAAUCAAUUAAUUAGAUACGUUAAGUAAUAGAAAUAUACACAAUUUUAAAGAAAAAUAAUGAAAAUGUAAGGUACAUACCGACAACUGGCCGUGAAUCUCCGCCUGGAUCUCGUCAGGCAUGACCCUCCAAGACUUCCAUUGCAUCGGGCAAUGGGUCCGCACGACGUGGCCAAUGUCGUGGGCCAAGGAGCUAUGCAACUUCGCCGUCGGUGCAGCACGAUGGCGCUCGUCGUAUCCGAUGCUGAUACGACUGUUGGUCACCCGGGUGACCUUCGCCGUCUUCAGCUGACGACACGGUCCUCGGGUGUUCCUCUUCGCUGCAAAGAAAUAAGGUAUUAAUGUUAAAUAAAAAAACAUUGUCAAAUUUCAAUAUAAAAUUAACAAUACAAAAGUGUAGUUAUACCUGGCUGUGAUCCCGAGGCACCAGUACCGUCGGUCGAUGUCGUGUCGAUGGUGUCGGUGGGCCGGUGCCGCCGCCUAGCACUAGCUGGUUGCGCCACGGAUGACGCAGAUGACACAGGCGCCUGGGGCGCCCCGGGACCAACCACCACGUGGUCCAACAAAGCAGGAGCAGUGGCAGCAGAUGCCGACUGAGCCAGGGGAUCCGAACUCGGUGCAGUCGUCAUCGACCUACCACGUCUAAUCAAGUCUGACAUCUGCACAUAUAAUUUCAUUCAGAAUGUAAACUAAUUAAUUAAAAGCAUAGCCUGACCUAGGGUUUGGAAUUUCGGAGUAUCCGGGACUCCGAUCAACGAUCGGUCGAAUCCUAAACGAUCCUAGAAACACAAAGGUACAACUACGCGAGUUUCAGUUCGAUCCAACGGUCCGAACAUAUCAAACCUGGAAAUCGCACAAUAGGCGAAAUUCGAUCAAGACUCAAACGGUAACCAAAUUCAAAUCCGAGCAAACCUACGCGCUCGUGACAAACAGGGGAUCGCUCUGGGACACAAUGCCCCACUGCCACAGCAUCCCACGCGCCGGCAGCGCGUGGGUGUCCAAAGCGAUAACAUUCGCCGGAAAAUUCUAAAAACUAACGGCCAAGGUUCCUACCCUAGGUUGAAAACAAUAUUUGGCGCCACUUUUGUUCUCGGACCUACCCCGAAAAAUGGCCGGAAGUGGCCGGAUUUGAAAUUGCCAAACCGGCCAAAACCUAGGGUUUUAAUUCCUAUUUCCUAUACCCAUCAGCUAGAGCACAAAAAAUAGUCGAGAAAUCAUACCUCAGGCGUCGGAAAUGGUGGCCGGAGGAGAGAGAAAACGGCCGGCGAGGAAUCGGUGAAAAACCGACGAUGUGCGACGGCAGGCUCGACGGCGAAGGCAGGGGAGGCUAUGGCAGGAGCGGCGGUGGCUGAGGUGACGGCGGAGAGAGAGGGCUGAGGUGACGGCGGAGAGAGAGGCAAACGGAGGAAAAAACCAGAAAUGGGGAAGAAGGAGGCAUCGCGACGUUUCUGCAAAUUUUUACGACUUUGCGCGACGAAUCACAUCAUUCGUCGCGCAAAAUGCUAUUAAUGAAUCUUGCGCGACGCUAUAUCCGUCGCGCAAGAUCUGUCAGAACGCCAAAUUCUGAAAGUGGAUUAGGGUCUGUAAGUUUUGCGCGACGAAAUAGACAUACUUCGUCGCGCAAAAGGCUGUCUUUCCGCCAAAAUUUUGGGAUUUAGGGUUUAGCGGGAGGCUGAAACUGAAGGGUUUGCGCUUUUGCGCGACGAAGACGGUAAACGUCGCGCAAUGGUAACCUUGCGCGACGGAACGUAUUAUAUUCGUCGCGCAAAAGGCUAUCUUUCCGCCCAAAUUUUGGGAUUCAGGGUUUAGCGGGAGGCUGAAGGGUUUGCGCUUUUGCGCGACGAAGACACUAAACGUCGCACAAAAGGCUGUCUGCUGAAAUGAAUGGUUUCUGCUUUUGCGCGACGAAGACAAUAAACGUCGCGCAAAACGUUGUCGUUCCGCCAACAAUUUGGGGUUUAGGGUUUAGUGUGAAAACUGGCGCCCAGAUUGCGCGACGAAGAGUACAUAUUUCCUUCGCGCAAUCUAUUUCACUUUCACUUUGCGCGACGGAUAUGUUGGUUCGUCGCGCAAUCUUCAAGAUUUUCAUUGAAAUUUUCACUAAGUGUUCAAAGGGGAUGGAGGUGUGAAAACUGGCGCCCAGAUUGCGCGACGAAGAGUACAUAUUUCCGUCGCACAAUCUAAUUCACUUUCACUUUGCGCGACGGUUAAAUUGUUCGUCGCGCAAAAUGUAGACCCUAAACCCCCUUGUAAACCCUAAACCCUGAACCCUAAGCCAUAAACCCUAAACCCUAAAAUAGUUUCAAUGAUCCAACCGGCAAACUUAUUGUUUGAAACUUGGAGAUCAUAUACGCCAAAAAUCAAGAAGACCAAACAUUCAGAUAUCAGGGAACGGGACUAAAUAUUUCGACGGUUAUAAAUGAAAAGUCAUGAUUUAACGGUUAUUGUAACUCCGAUUUUGAUCAAUUUUGACAGCAGCAUUUGUUGACCCUAUAUGAAUACAAUGACUGAAUUUGAUCUUCAAUUUCAGAUUUUUACACUAGGGGAUACCACAUAAACGUGAAGUUACAUUUGCACAAAUGUAUAAACAAAUUUUAGGGUUUUUGGUGAAUAUAUGAUUUUGAUAGCACAUGCAGUCUACGAAACAAGUUUCAGUCAUCCAGCCGUCAAACUUGUUUUUUUAGACUUCGAGAUCAUAGACAGCAAAAAUCGGACAAAAAAAACAUUCAGAGAUUAAGCAACGGGGUAAAACUUUUCGACGGUUCUAAAUAAAAAGUGAUGAUUGAACGGUUAAUUUAACUCCGAUGUUGAUGAUUUUUUGCAGCUACAGUCCUACACUCCAUAUGAAUACAAUGAACUACUUCGAUCGCCAAUUUUAAAUAUAUAUGUGUGUAUAUAUUAUACUAUAACGUUACCUAAUAUAUAUUUGCGCGACGAAAGUUUGCUUAUCGUCGCGCAAAAAUGCCAUACGCGACGCAUGUAUAUAUGCGUCGCGGAAACUAUGCGCGACCAGUUGUAUUCGUUGCGCAAACAUUACGCGACGCUUAUGUAUGCGUCGCGUAUGGUAUGUUUGCGCGACGAUAUGGAGCCCUUCGUCGCGCAUGGAUUUGGCGCCAUAAAUCCUCAUUGAUUUCAAAUUGUGUAUGCUUUGUAUUUUUUAGAAAGGUUUUGUAUUCAUCAUUUUUUAUGCUUUGUAUUUUGUGGAAAGGCUUUGAAAUAUUCAUUUCUUUUGUUAUUUUUAUUGAAGCUUUAACUUGUUCUGUUCCGCAGAAAAUUCCAAUGAAGUUUGUGAUGAAAUAUGGAGAAUGAAUACACAACUACAUAUGGACAACUACACAUAUUCAAAGAUUUGUAUUACACAAAAUUAAUACACUAACAUAAUAAAUUUACAAAUAAAUUCAUUAUUCAUCAUCUGAACUAUAAUAACUUUCGUUAUCGUCGCUAGCUUUAACUUGUUCUGUUCCGCAGAAAAUUCCAAUGAAGUUUGUGAUGAAAUCUGGAGAAUGAAUACACAACUACAUAUAGACAACUACACAUAUUCAAAGAUUUGUAUUACACAAAAUUAAUACACUACAUAAUAAAUUACAAAUAAAUUCAUUAUUCAUCAUCUGAACUAUAAUAACUUUCGUAUCGUCGCUAUCAUCACUCUCGGUCUCCCAAUCUUCUUCCUCCUCCUCCUCUAUAACUGCAUCAUCGGCGUUGCUAGGGCCCACUGCAACAUCGUAUCGGGGAAGAUCACCGAGGUCAAUUGUAAUUGACUGAAUCGGUAUUUCGACUGAAGACACUCCUUCUAUUUGAAACGGUUCUUGUAUAACAUUUGUAUCUCGAAGUGUUUCCGCAUCAUUUUCCAUUGAAGAUUCUAAACGAUGGUCAGCCACAUUGUCGACGUCGUUGUCACUUGGGUCUAGUUCUGGUAUAUUAUACACGUUCCUAUGAUCCAUCUUCUGCACAACUUUCCACCCGUUCCCGGCUUUAGGGUCAUCUAGAUACACAAUUUGGGACGCCAUGUUUGCCAAAAUGUACGGGUCGUCAUCAUACCAAGUUCUGUUAAUAUUCACAGACAGUACUCCAUGGUCGAUUUUAACACUUCCCGCCCUAUUUGGGUUGGUAUCGAACCAUCGACACUUAAACAUGAUGACUUGGUAUCGAUCUUUGUAAAGCAAUUGCACGACAGUUGUCAGUUUGCCAUAGAAAUCAAUGUCUGUACUUUCGCCUCCACCUGGGACAUGAACACCGCUAUUUUGCGUACACAACUUGUCAUCUCGUGCGGCCCCUAAAAAUUUGACGCCGUUAACAUUACAACCCGAGAACAAUUCAGCGCGAAUUGGGCCGAACGCCAAGUUAUAUAACUCAUCACUGUAAGUGGGGGAAUUCGAUGAUUUCAAUUUAUUCACCUAAUAGUAUACAAAACCAUUUACAUGUUAGUCUGACAAAAUUAAAUACUAAAAUUUAUAUUUGUCAAUUACAAAACACUUAUAACUUACAGAAUCCAAAAACCAUUGUGGAAAUAAUUCACGGUGUUUCCGGGCAACCAAAUGUGAUGGAUGUUCUCGCUUCAUCAUCUGUUCAUGCUCAUCUAAGUAGGCCAUUAUCUCAUCACAAUUGUUCAGUACGAACCAAUGCGCUACCUCCAUGUCAUUUCUAGAAAACGACUCUCCUCGUCCAGGAUCUCCAAAUGGUCGUGCGCUUUGGGCAAAAACAGAAAGUUUUUCAUUUCUCAUACCUCCGUCAUUAUUGCGGUGAGGACGAUUGAAAACCGUCUCCACAUCUUUUAAAUACAUUCCACAGAAAGUAAGCGACUCAUAUUGAACCCAAGCCUCUAUAAUUGAUCCUUCGGGCUUUGCCCUGUUGCGUACACUUUUUUUCAGCUCUCCGAGAAGCCUGCCAAAAUAAAACGAUAUGAUACAAAUUAGCAAAGUGUCGAUAAUGAUGCAUACACAAAUGAUAAAGAUUAUAUACCUUUCUAUUGGAUACAUCCAGCGAUAGUUGACAGGACCAGCAAGCAAUGCCUCUUCUGGCAAGUGAACCAUCACGUGCAUCAUACUUAUAAAGAAAGCUGGAGGAAAUAUCAUCUCAAACUUGCAUAGGACUUGGACAAUGUCAUGGCGCAACUGAAACAUGUCUGUCCUUCGCAAUGUUUUUGCCGUCAGUUGGGAAAAAAAUCUGGAUAACAACAUGAUUGGCUUCACCACAUCUUCCGGCAGUAAGUGUCGAAUACCCACAGGAAGUAGGCGUUGCAUGAACACAUGGCAGUCAUGGCUCUUAAGUCCAGUAAAUUUACCCCCAUCGACAUUCACGCAACGUGCGAUAUUAGAAGCAUACCCAUCGGGAAAUUUGACAGACGAUACAAACUUUAGAAACUCCUUUUUGUCAUUCGGUUUCAUAGAAAAGAAUGCAAGAUCCCUUCUAGCUUUAUCACUGUCCCUAUUCAUCCAUAAACCCCUUCGUAUGCCCAUUCUUUCCAAAUCAAGACGAGCUUUGAUCGUGUCCUUCGUCUUCCCCUCGAUAUCUAGAAUCGUGCCCACCAAUGUGUCGAAAACAUUUUUCUCAACAUGCAUCACAUCUAGAUUGUGCCUCAAUUUCAGUUUCGACCAAUAUGGGCGCUCAAAAAACAUAGACUUGUGCGUCCAGUUCAAAUGUGUAGAAGGUCGGGUCCGACUAACUGUUUUCCCGAACGGAGCAAAAUCCAAACGGUUCAGCUGUUCCAAGAUCUCAUCACCGGACCAUUCUCUAGGUCUGAGGCGACGCUCUGUGUUCCCGUCGAACUCUUUAUCUUUUUCUCGCCACUCGUGGUCCCAUGGCAACCAUCUCCGAUGACCAAGGUAACAAACUUUUCCCGCGUGCCAACCAGAAGUUACAUCUUCCUUGCAUACAGGACAUGCCAUAUAACCCUUUGUGCUCCACCCAGAAACCAUUGCAUAUGCUGGAAAAUCAUUCACAGUCCACAUAACUGCUGCUCGCAAAGUGAACAUCCUCCCAGUUGAUUUAUCGUACGUGCGAACACCGUUUGUCCAUAAAUCCUUCAGCUCAUCAACCAGAGGCCUUAAGUACACAUCAAUUGACCUGCCAGGAUCCUCAGUUAUCAAAACAGUCAUCAUCAUGUAUUCUUUUUUCAUGCAUUUCCAAGGCGGCAAAUUAUAUGGGAAUGCGAAAAUCGGCCAAGUGCUGUGGUGUUGGUUUAGAACCCCAUACGGAUUGAAUCCGUCAGUGGCAAGUCCCAAUCUAACAUUUCGGGGAUCAGCAGCAAAUUCGGGGAACGUUCGAUCGAACUCUUUCCAUGCCUCCCCAUCUGCAGGAUGCCGCAUCACAUCAUCGUCUACCCGUUUUUCCUUAUGCCAUCUCAUGUCUGUGGCAGUAUGCGUUGACAUAUACAAUCGCUGCAACCUAGGUUUAAGGGGCAGAUAACGCAUGACUUUUUGUGGUAUCUUAGUCGUUCUAUUCUGGGAUGUCAGUUUGAACCUCGACUCAUUGCAUAUAGGGCAUGUAUCCAACGUUUCAUGCUCUUUGUAGAAUAACAUGCAAUUGUUUUUGCAAGCGUGGAUUUUUUCAUAACCCAAUCCAAGACCGUGCAACACCUUCUGUGCAUGUUUAUGGUCUUUCGGCAAACAAUUGUCCGUCGGAAGCAUUCUCUUGAAAACCCCCAAAAAGUAAUCAAAACACAAGUUCGACAUACGAUACUUUAUUUUUCCGUGCAUUAGCUCCACAAUGGCAGUGAGAACGGAAAACCUCUCGCACCCCGGGUAUAACUCUUGGUUGGCAUUUUUUAACAGUUUUUCAUACUGUUCAAACUCCGCACUGUCUAUUGGUGUAGGCACGUCAUCUUCCCCUUCCUGAUUGAUGUUGGUCGAUGCGAAUGGAAAAGCAUCCUGUAUAAUACCCAUGACUUGAUCAUUAGGAUCCACAAUAGGUUCAACAUUGUCCACUCUCGGGGCAUUUGAAGACGAAGCAUGGUCUACUUGUUCGCCGUGAAGGUUCCAAAUGCUAUAUGUUUCAAUCAUUCCAUUCCUUACUAAAUGAAAUCCAACAUUUUCAAUUGUCUCCCACAACGUGUUGUUACACCUCCUACAAGGACAACGGAUUCUAGUUGCACCCGGGUUGUGUCUACGUGCAAACUCAAUAAAAUCCUCGAUUCCAUCCAAGUAUUCGUCUGCGCAUCUAUUCGGGUUCUGUAUCCACCUUCUGCUCAUAAUUCCUGAAACCACAAUCACGACACAACAAUCACAACAACUUCAUACGAAGUUAUAAUGUCACCUUAUGCCUCCGGUAAGGGCCCUAUCCCAUUCGGGAAUGCAUAGUCCUGUCACGUAACCUACGGCUACAUGAGAUUAGAUUUCGACGUGGAUUAAUUUCAGCAGCAUCUCGACACAGUUCUUGAAGUGGGCAUAGGUAUAAAUACCUACGUACCACCCGAAGAACGUACCGAGAUGACACCGAAAUCUCCACAAUCGAAACCUAAUCCUGUAGCCGAAGAUUAUGUGACAACACUAUGCAUUACCAAACUGUCCAAAUAAUGGGACAAUUCAAGAAUUAAUUGGACCGCAGUCAUGCAUUACGCAUCCAUGCACGAAAUUCAACUAAUCUCGAACGGGAAACUACGUGUUACUAAACAUAAAAAUAAAAGUACGAAGUUAAUUUCAAUUAACUUCGUACAUCACAACACAUUGUGCUAUGUCACGCACAAUUUCACAACAUUAUACACAUAUAACUUCACAAAAAAAUUACAAACAUAACAAACAAACUUUUACAAUAACAUACCUUCUCAAUCGUUCUCCACCAAUCACAAAUAUCCCUAACGAUAACAAAAUUAAUAGCGUUACUACGAAUUUACAUUAAUACAUUUAAACUAACGACAAAAAAUACAUACCCAAUGAACGUACUGAAUUCACAGUAGAGCAACGGCAGAGAGAGUGAGAGAGAGGUAGAAUGCAGUGGGAGAGUGAGAGAGAGGCAGAAUGCAGAAACUGCAUUCUGCCUCUGCAAUGGAACUGGCUAAAAUGAAGAAGAAGGACUUUGCGCGACUAACAAUCCAAUCCGUCGCGCAAAAUGCCGUCGCGAAAACCCACUUUUCCGUCGCACAAAAAAACAUUUCCGUCGCGCAAUUACCUGCCGACAUCAGGUUUUUUGCGCGACGAAUACAAUUAUCCGUCGCACAAACAUCCGUCGCGCAAAUAACAUUAUUCGUCGCGCAAGGUUUAUAUUACGUCGCGCAAAUAACACUUAUUUCGUCGCGCAAGAAAUUACACUUUACGCGACGAAGGUAAUUCCGUCGCGCAAAAAAGUUUUUUCCACCCUGCAUUUUGCCGCCAAAAUUAAGUAACCCUCGUUUUCUUACGCGACGGUACAUAUUUCCGUCGCGCUAAGGCGUCUUUUGCGACGAAAAUGUUCGUCGCGCAAGAUUCUGGCGCCAAAAACAUAAACUGGGGAUUUUUCCCCGACCUUUGCUCGACGAAAUUAGUUUUGGUCGCGCAUAGAUUGUUUGCGCAACGAAGAUUGUUCGUCGCGCUAGUGUUCUGCUGUUUGCGCUACGGUAUUUUUUUUUCGUCGCAAUAGUGAUUUUUGCGCGACGAAAAUAUAUUCGUCGCGCAAACGUCCGUCGCGCAAAUAGUAAAUCGUAGUAGUGUGAUUUGGUUUAGACUUGGUUUAAUUAUCAUUGUUGUGGUUGGUUCACCAAAAAGAUUUGGCUUAGAAUUACCAGUUUUGUUGUUGGUUUAGUUAUGCUUGGCAUUUGAGGAUCCUAUGCUUACUUGUAUGGGUAAUACAUUUUAUUGAUCGUUUCAUAUACUAAUUAUGAACUUUUAGUUCCAUUGUGCAUUUAAGAGUACACAUAUUUCAUAUGUAAUUCGAAAGUUUGUCGCUGAAAUUUCUGAGAAUUUGAAACUAGAUAAGCACACCUUGCACAAAGUUCAUAUAUUUUCUUCCAGCAAGUCUGUCUAUUAACCCCCCUUAUCUGAAAUUAAUUGUUAAAAGUUCUGAUUCAUCUUUAAUCAUUGUCUUACCCUUGUUGAAUAACACUCCUCAUUCUAAUUUAUAUUCGAAGUUUGAGGUUUCAAUUUCAAUUGUGGGCUUUGAUUUUACAGAUUUUGUUUGUCAAUUUCAAUUUGGACAAAGCAUAUGCAAACAAAGUAAGGCAUUAUCUAUUAUUUGGAUCAUUUCCAUAUGUUUAUAUGUUUUUAAUAUCAUUUGCCUAUGUAGUUGACAUGUUAUAACAUUUUCGUAGUGUUGAAUAUAUAUAUAUAAUAAUUUUAUUUUAGUGGAUGUGAGAUCUCAGUUUGUUGCUUUAUAUAAUUAUUUCUUUGCAAUUUAAUUUUUUUUAUCAGUCAUACUAUUGUUGACGGCUAAAAACCAUCAAGAAACAACUCUUAAGUUUUUUAAAAAAUAAAUAAAUAAAUAAAGAUUUGUUGAUGCUUAAAAAGCAUCAAGAAAAGAUAGUUUCUUGACGGUUUUGUGACGUUUCAUAACCGUCAUGAAACAUUACAUUUUGACGAACGUCUUUCUGAUAGUGGCAUCCGUGACGCUUUCCGAGCCAUCAAUUAAGGGCUAUCGUGAUGCUUUUUAGUUGUCAGCAAAAGGUGUUUUUCUUGUACUGUAUUCACUCAAAAUCGUUUUUCAUUUAGGGUUGCUAGUGUGGUUGAAUGCCAUUUGUUUUGUUAAUGAAUAUUAUACAUUAUGGAUUUUUGUAGAAAUGUCGCUUGAAAUUAUACCUCAGUUUCAAUUUGUCACCUUAAAGAAAAAUUUAAGAGAAAUGUCACCUUAAUUUUUCAAAAUCCACGAUUUGUCAUCUCACUUUAACAUCAUCCAAUUUUCCAUCUAUUUUAAGGGUAUUUUAGUCUUUUCAUUUUCAAGGGAAAAAAAGAGAGGAAGAAAAAGACCUCUCUCUUACUUUCUCCCCCAACCCAACCCCACCCGCCCCCCAAAACACAUCGCAUAGGACCGCCUCCCCCUUCCCCACAUUUCUUUUUUCUUUUUGGCCUACUUUUCCACUAUGUUUAUGUUGAAGGAUCUAAAGUUUUCUUGGUCACCAUCUAUUACGUAGGCUACCGACUUGUUGGUUUGGGUGGGUUGAGGGAAUUUGUGUGUGGAGGGCAGGUGUUCAUGUUGUGUGCACCAAGACCUUAUCGUUGAUGAACUAUGUGACGGCACACACACAAACUCGUUGAGAAUAAAACAAACAUACCACCAAGAGAGUAAAACAAACACACAAGGACACAAAGAUUUAUAGAGGUUCGGCCUCCUGCCUACGUCUUUUUGGUGAUUCACUCGAGAAAUUCACUAGUAUGUAAAAAUAACUUUGGUUACAACUGAACCCCCUUAGCCCUCACAAGAACCUUAGAUCUCUUUUCUCUCACCCUUGCUCAAACCCUUUGAUGCCCUUGUAGACACUCAAGAAUUCACCCUUGAAUUCUAUCUUGUGUUACAUCUUCUCUUCUCCCUUUUGUUAACCUAACCCUAAAAGUCCUAUUUAUAAUGCAUAGGACUUAAGUUACAAGUUAACUUGGAAUAGGAAACAUAAAAUACCCCAAAAAUUGGAGAAAAUCUGUCCAAAUCUAGCCUGCAAAAUCAUCCUUCUGCCGCUCGAGCUGCCGGUGGCGCUCAUGGGAUGGGGGAAUUGGAGAUUUUCUUUUCAAUUUUAAUUGUUUAAAAGAUAUACAAUUUUUUAUUAUAAUAAUUUUUCCAUUUUUAAAAUACACUUGAAAAUAGAAAGCUUAAAAUGCCCUUAAAAAUAGAUGGAAAAUUGGAUGGUGUUAAAGUCAGAUGACAAAUCAUGGAUUUUGAAAAAUUAAGGUGACAUUUCUCUGAAAUUUUUCUUUUAAAAGUGACAAAUUGAAACUGAGGUAUAAGUUCAGGCGACAUUUCUACAAAAAUCCCUAUACAUUACAAUAUUAUAACAAUAAAAUUGGCUAAAAUUGAUAUGUUCCCUCUUUUCUUUUCUUUUUCUCUUUUCCUUUUCAUUUUAUGCUUUGUUGCUAUUGCUAUGUUUAUCCUACAAAUAUAGCAACUUCUCCACCAUUCAUUUGUUAGUGACUACGAUGCUUAGUAACUUCUUCAGCUCCCCUUAUUUCCAUGUACUAACCAGGGACACCAGGUCAGCAUCUUCGGUAAGAAUCCUAACUCAAUCAAACAAUGACAUCUGUAAAUAUUCAAAAUUGGAAUUUGCAUUGUGAUAGUUGAAAGCAUCCUUGUCCCAAAAAAAGCCAAAAAAUAAAAUAAAAUUGAGAGCAUUAAGUCCUUUUCAAAUUAUGCUAAUAUGCAAAAUUGGAAUUUUGAUGGAGUUGCUUCCUUGACUUUUCCACCUUUGUAUCCAGUCCACUUUGCACAAGGAGCCAAGUUUGAGAGAUAGUUUUCUGUAUUUACACCAUCCAGGAGAAAAUUAAAAAACUAUUUCAUGCCAAACUAACUACGGAUUCUUGCAAAGGACCCAUUAGUGUAGUGGUUUGGAGUAUUUACUCCCUCAGGCAAGGUCUUGGGUUCGAGUCCUAGCAUUCAUGUUGUGUGUGUGAGUUUAAUAUGCUAUCACCCCUUCCAAUAGGAAAGGACCUCAAAAAAAAAAAAAAAACUACAGAUUCUUUAAUUGAAAGAAACCCCAUAUUAAUCAUCCUUUGGCACAUAAAUGUUUGGUAAUUGGCAUUAAAGUAUCUAAAGGUUACGAAAUUAAAGAUUUUAAUGCAAACCUAAAAUUGGAAAAGAGGGCACCAAUUCAUGUAAAAUAUGGUGUACUUAGUAGAUCCAACAUAUUUUUUUAGCAACCAAGGACAAUCAUCAUUUUUUUUUUUAAGAACCAAGGAUAGCUUACAUUCUAGUUUGUCCAUCAUGUCAACACAUUUAUAAUUAAAACUUCUUUUUUGGUGAGGUUUCAAUUUUUGUCACUGUAACAAGACCACAAUUGCCAUUCAGUAUGCUAACAUUGUCACUAUGUUUGCCAAUUGCAUAUUAUCUAGAACAUAAAGGCUUUGGUGUUUUGUAUAUCCUCGGGGUGCCAAACCUGUCUUUAUAAAAAUGGUCCUUAUGAUACUACUUUAACAACAAAAAAAUAUAAUAAACUAGGCCUUUGUAGUCACUGAACGAAUGUUUUCUCAUAGAUAUGACUAUUUAAAUGUAAUUACGGGAUUAAAACAUUAUAAUAAAUUGGAGUGAACCAUAACAUUAUAUAUGAUCCAAUCCUUUUCAUAUAUUUUUGUUCAAGACUUUGUUUUAGAAUGCUCUUUUACUAAUUUGGUACAGGUCCCUAAAAUCUACGCCUUUAUGAGGCAACGUCUUUAUUUCUUUGGUUAUUCCAGUUUAGAAUAUAUUUGUACAAAUGAGAUGACUCCCAACAUAAAGUCACAUUCAACCAAAAAGCAUGAAGUCACACACAAAAAGAACACGGACAAUUGCUAAGUUUAUCUUGUAUCCUUAUUUUAUUGAUCCAACCCAAUUGAAAAAUAAAAAAGAUGAUAUAAUAUAUUGUUCACUGCUUACAUCCAUGAGUAAAGUCCUCCAUUUGAAAUUGCGUGAUUAUACAAAAUUGGAAUGAAAAAAGAAAAUCCUACAACUAAAUUUGAUAUAUUCCUUUUCAUUUUAUGUUGGAUGUUAAGUUUUCUUGUUUCUUGUUGAAAAGAAAAAUGAAAAGAAAUAAAUAAAUUACACAGCUAGCAACUUCUCCACCUUCCCUUCUUCCCAUGUACUGACAACAAGGGAGGCCUUCAAUCCAAAAUAAAGACAAGGGAUGCCAGGUCAGCAUCUCAGAUAAGUAUCCCAACCAAAACCAAUCAAAUAAUGACAUAUGUAUCUCUUUUUGUGUUUUGUUCUAUUUCUCUUUGAAUUAACUGCGAAGUUUCAUAAGCGUGUCCUCCUUUUGAAAUUGUGUAUUAUUCAAAAUUGGAAUUUGCUGGUCAUACUUGAUAUAAGCUAAAACAGUUUCCAACAUCUUGUACCAUUUUUUUCCAGUGUGGGUCAUAACUUGAAGAAGCCCACCGACAAUUUCUCAAAAGCUAUUACCAUCCAACUUUGAAAAAUAAAAGUUUCAAAAGUUACCCCAAACAACAGCCCUUGAAAGAGAGUUUUCCAAGGCUAAAGAUUACAAGGAUGUUAUUGGCACAUGCAUUAACGUGUGACAAGAAGUUAGUUAUAUUUAUAAAGUAAAAGAACGAAGUACAUAACAUGUAAGUUGAUGCCAAAUAUUUGAUCAACAGAGCUAAACAUAAAACCACGACAAUAUAACGUUGUUCACCAAAAAUUGUGUUUCGUUGAGGGUCAGUAGUGUAGGUUUCAAGAUACGAUUUAUUUUGUUAAAGAAUAUUCUGAUAUUCUAACAAUAAAAUUGGCUCAAUUUGAUAUGUUUCUUUUUUUUUUUGUUUUUGUUUUCCCUUUCAUUUUAUGCUUUGUUGUGCUAUUGCUAAGUUUAUCCUAGAGACCAGGGAUGCUUAGCAAGUUUCUUCACCUGCCCUUCUUCCCAUGUACUAACUAGGGAUACCAUGUCAGAAUCUUAGAUAAGAAUCCCAACCCAAUCAAACUAUGACAUCUGUAAGUAUUCAAAAUUGGAAUUUGCAUUGUGAUAGUUGAGUGGAAGAAUCGAUUAAGGCUUGAGUGGAAGACAAACUUCAGUGGAGGAAAGUAAUUAAUCUCACAAGACAUAGCCCAUCAGUUGGCUCAUUUUUCUUGAGUGUGUAGUCCUGGCCUUGAGGCGAGGCCACAUUGCUUUGGAGAUUUCUUUCUACUUGGUGAAAUUAUAAUUUAGAAGAAGCAAACUGCGUUUUGCAAUUUGUGCGAUUCAAGCAUAUCUGACACUAGUAAUUAGACCAUAAUCUUUGUCCGACCAGAAAAUAAGAAAAGUUGUCUUGUACCAUUUCUGCCAGUGUGGGUCCCACCCACCCCAUACGAGUAAUUUGAAGAAGUCCACCGACAAUUUCCCAAAAGCUUUGGCGUCCAACUUUGCCGACCCCAUCCCCAUGUGAGGCCAUAGAAAAGUUUUCAGCCACAAUCAAAGAAGGGAACAGUCCUUGAAAAGAGAGGGUUUUCCAAGGCCAAGAUUACAAGUUCAUGUUAUUUACAGUCUCAAAAAGCUUCCAUACUUGUUUACAAACCUGUAUUUUCAAGUUGUGCUAGCCUAGCUAUUUGCAAAUCUUGGAAUAUUUUACUUCAUCCAAAUCCCUUGCAGUCUGCAGAGAAGAUAAAAGACAUGGCUUUGAUUGGAGAGGCUCUUAUCUCUGCUUCCGUCCAGGUGUUGUGCGACAGAAUUACUUCACCCGAGUUCGUUGACUUAUUUUGGCACAAGAAACUCGAUGAGCCACUCCUCAGGAAGCUGAGGACGACACUGUUGGCCUUGAACUUGGUGCUCAAUGAUGCAGAGGGGAAGCAACUUGUGAACCGAGAUGUGAAAAAGUGGCUUGACGAGCUCAGACAUGCUGUCUUUGAUGCGGAGGACUUACUGGAUGAGAUUGACACUGAAGCUUUGCGAUGCAAGCUGGAAGAAGGUGAAGAUCAAACUCACAAAUUUACCAAUAAGGUGCGGAACUUGCUCUUUUCUCCUCGUAGUCAUUUUUAUCAGAGCAUGAAUGAUAAGAUAAAAGAGUUACUAGCAAGGUUAGAAAACUUUGUACAACUGAAAAGUGCUCUUGGUCUGGGAGAAGUUGCUGGGAGGAAGGUUUCGCAAAGAACUCAAACAACCUCCUUGGUUCUUGAACCUUAUGUAUAUGGUAGAGAUGAAGUCAAAGAAAAGUUAUCAAAAGUGUUGCUAUCUGAUGAAGCAGGCAAGGAUCCUGUGUCUUUCCUCACCAUUGUUGGAAUGGGUGGGGUUGGCAAGACAACCCUUGCUCGAAUGCUUUACAAUGACGAUAAGGUGAAAGGGCAUUUUAAACUUAAAGCUUGGGCUUGUGUUUCAGACUACGAUGAUUAUAUUAAAAUUACUAAAACUCUCCUUGAGGCAGUCACUUCAAAGCCUUGUAACACGGCAAAUCUGAAUUUGCUUCAAAAAGAUCUAAGAGAGCAAUUGAGGGGAAGGAAAUUUUUAUUUGUGUUGACCUAUGGAAUGAGAAUAAUGAGGAUUUGAACUACCUUAGAGCUCUUUUUAUUACUUUAGGAACAAUGGGAAGUAAAGUCAUUGUAACAACACGGAACAAAAAUGCAGCAUCUGUCAUGCAAAAUGUUCAUAUUCAAUACUUAGAACCAUUGUCGUAGGAGGACUGCUGGUUAUUACUUGCAAAACAUGCAUUUGGAAAUGAAAAGUGUAGUGCACAUUCAAACUUGGAAGACAUUGGAAAGCAAAUUGCACUCAAGUGCAAAGGGUUGCCUUUAGCUGCACAAACACUUGGGAGUUUGUUACGUUGCAAUAUGGAUUUCGAGUACUGGAAUAGAAUACUAAAUGAUAGUUUUUGGGACCAACCCUAUGAUAAAACUAACAUUCUUCCGGCUCUAGGGUUGAGUUACCAUUAUCUUCCUACUCAGUUGAAACGAUGCUUUGCUUAUUGUUCAAUUUUUCCAAAGGAUUAUGAGUUUGAAAAGGAAGAUAUAGUUCAAUUAUGGAUUGCAGAAGGUAUAAUUCCACAAGCUGAGAAUGGAAAAAGGAUGGAAGCAUUGGCUAGAAUAUACUUUGAUGAGCUGUUAUCACGAUCGUUGUUUCAAAAGUCAAGUAAAUUCAGCUUCAUUAUGCAUGAUCUCAUUAAUGACUUGGCUAUGUUCAUGUCUCAGGGGUUUUGCCUUAGGCUCGAAGAUGGGGUAUCCCGUGAAGUUAAAAGAGCUCGUCAUUUGUCAUAUGCUAGGGGAGAAUUUGAUGCUGCUCCAAGAUUUGAACCAUUAUAUGAGGCUAAAUGUUUGCGGACCUUCCUACCUACCAUUUGUUGUGGGCAAAUCUACUGGAUCAGGCAUAAGAGAACUGAGGCAGUUCCCGCAACUUCGAGGAAAACUAUCAAUUUUGAAGCUACAAAAUGUAGUUGAUGCGAGGGAUGCACUGCACGCCAAUAUGAAGCACAAGAAAGAUCUCAAGGAGUUAGAGCUUUCAUGGGGUGCGGAGGAUGCUGAUGAUUCCCAAAAGGAGAAAGAUGUACUCGACAAGCUCCAGCCUUGCGUGAAUUUGGAGAAAUUAACCAUCAAAUUCUAUGGUGGAACUAAUUUUCCGAAUUGGUUAGGAGACUCGUCUUUUUCUAACAUACAAGUCAUGCAUCUCAGUGACUGUAGUUAUUGUUGGUCGCUCCCACCAGUUGGACCGCUACCGGCACUCAAACAGCUCUGUAUAAGAAGAAUGAAGUUUGUGAAGACGAUUGGCGUUGAAUUCUAUGGCAGAAAUGGAGCUUAUCUGACUCAGCCAUUUCGAUCUCUGGAGAAGCUAGAGUUUAGGGAGAUGCCAGAGUGGGAGGAAUGGGUACCAAGUGGAAGUGCAAGUGGAGGUGAAUAUGGUCCAGACUUUCCUCGUCUCCAGGAGCUGAUUCUAUACGAGUGUCCGAAGCUAAGAGGAAGUUUGCCUUGUGAGUUGCCUUGCUUGAAGAAGCUUACGGUGUAUGGGUGUAAGGUUUUACAUGAUGGAAGGGCCAUUACCGCAACUACCAAUAGUCUUAACUAUAAAUCUCUGGAAGAAUUGAAUAUAAGUGGUGGAUGCCAAACUCUGUUAUCAUUAUUAGAGACAAAGCUCCUGUCCGGACUUGAGAUUCGAAAUGUUGUUGACAUACAGUGCUUGCCCAACUGCAGUCGUCUUCAACAUUUGACUCUUUCGAAUUGUCCAACGCUGUCAUCAUUUCCCAAAGAUGGCCUACCCACUACAUUGACAUCACUUUAUAUAAACAAUUGUAGGAAAUUAGAAUUCCUACCUCAUGAGAUGUUGGCCAAAUUAACAUCGCUUGACUAUUUGUGCAUACAAAAUAGCUGUGAUUCAAUGAGGUCCUUCCCGUUGGGCAUUUUUCCCAAAUUGACGAGGCUUGAAAUUCGUGGUUGUGAGAAUCUGGAAUCCCUUUCCUUGAUUGAAGAAGAAGGAGCUGUUGAGAAUCUCAGCCAUCUCAAUUACUUGCAAGUCUAUAACUGUCCAAAAAUGGUGUGUUUUCACGAGGGAGAAUUGCCCACUCCCAACCUGAGUCACUUUGUAGUCGGUGGUUGCGAGAAUUUGAAGUCAUUGCCCAAAAGCCUUCACACCCUCACUGCCCUUCGAUCUUUGUCGAUAUGUAAUCUUCCGAAUCUGGAGUCAUUUGCAGAAGAUGGGGGUUUGCCUCCCAACCUCCGACAAGUAAGUAUUAGGAAUUGUGAGAGACUGAGGGCUUCAUCAGUGGGUUUGCAAGCACUUGACUCCCUUGAGAUCAGUGGAAGUGACCAUGUAUUCUCUAUCACACUCUUCACAUCUAUUCUCUAUCAACUCUGAAAUCUUUGGACGGAAAGGGUCUUGGACACCUCACUUCUCUUCAAGAGCUAGAUAUUAACAGGUGUCCAAGUCUGGAAUUCCUGCCAGGAGAGGAACUUCAACACCUCACUUCUCUUCAAAAUCUAUACAUUUGGAACUGUCCCAGUCUUCAAUGCUUGCCAGAAGAGGGUUUUCCAUCAUCUCUUUCUCAUCUGAGUAUCCGCCGGUGUCCUACCCUGGAGGAAAGGUAUAAGAAUAAAACGGGACGAGAUUGGG